ACUUCAACUACUACUUGGCAAUUCGGACGCAGCAAUGUUCUGUACUCUUCCUCUGUCUUUUGGGGCAUUUCUGGGGCAGUAUUACAGCGCCACCCACCGGCUUGGCAUAUGCACUACAUUUCAGUGUUUUUCAGUGGUUUUGUGUUUCAUGAUAUAUCCUGAAACAUUUACGUCUUUAUGUUAAACUUUUCCAAAAAAUGUCAAUACAUCAUUUUUGUCUGUGUGGACAAGGCAUAAAUGUCACACAGUCUGUUUGACAGCUCUGAAUGAGGAUCUCACCUACAGUGUCAUCGGGGGCUAAAGAAAAACCUGAAGCAGGUGCAGCACAAACCACCUCAAAUGAAGCCAAGCUCCUCUUAGAUUAUAAAAUUAAAAUAUGAUCUGUUUUGGUGGACUUCAUAUAGCUCUUCAGUGUUUGGGUGAAUACACCAGAGGAGUGUAAGGGAUGGAAAGGUGGCUAAUAAAAGAGGAAGUCACUGUAAAAUUAAAUAGGAAGAGCAUAAUACCUGUGGGGAGACGUAAAUAACAGCUAAGCAUGGAGGAUUAUUCACAGAAAUAUAAAGCUAUUUGAGUGUGAAGGUGGGAAAAUGGCUUAAAGCGUGUGUAUGUGAGUAUGUGUGUGACAGAGAGUGUGUGUUUAAAAGAAAGUGAGGGAGAAAGUAUGAAUUAGCACCGGACAGUCUGAAGGGUAGACUCUGAAACAAAAUUGUCUGAGGUUCUCCUAAAUGUCAGAGUGUGUGUGCGUUCUCACUCCUCUUUCUCUAGACAUGCGAGCCCUAAACUCCUCUUAGCCACACACACACACACACACACACACACACACACACACACACACACAGACCCUCUCUUUCUCGCUAUCACACACAGACUCACACCUCAUUAGCAGCAGGACAUGGCAUUUCUGGACCAUUCUGAUCAGGCCUUUGGCAAAGGAAGAGGAGAUGACAGAGUCUUUAAUUCCUCUUUUUGACUCAAAUUCAUUCCAAAUUUAAAUGAUCCAUAAAUCAAAGUUUAACCUUGUGUAAGAACUUGGUGGAUGCCUAAAUUUCAAAAGAGAGUUUAGUAAUUAAGACCAGGUUUUCUAUUUUUUAUUUUUUUUCGGUUUUAUAUUGCAGUCUGCAACUUUUUCCUCAACACCAAUUCCUAAAAAGUUUGGACCCUGUGCUAAAUCUUAAAGACCUAGUCCAAUGAAAAUCAAGGAGUAGGAUCUAACAGUAGUAUGUAGCAGUAGUAUGUAGUAUGCGGGCGGGCAAUUCGGACACAGCACAUGUGUGUACACCACUAGCGGAAUAAAUCAGAGCCGGGCUGGGGGUGGGGUGGGGCACAUGACCGGGUCCUUUCAACCCAAAUCAUGAAGCUCGGCAAAAUUGGCCCUAUCAGUCAGAAAACACUUGAGAGGAGGGUUUUCAUUAUCCAUGGCCUGCGUGUUCUGUAGCAUGAGGAGACCUGCUGCUUUCAUUUCCAGUGUCCAGCAUGGGUGAAGAGGGGGCUGCCUGUCAGGCACCAGGUCUGCGCUCUCCGAGUGCUUUUCUAGUUUGUGUGUUUGUUUGUCUGUUUGUCUGUGAACAACUUUACGGAGAAAGUUACAGACGGAUUGACCUGAAAUUUUCACCAGAGGUGCGUCUCAGCCUCAGGAGGAUCCCAUUACAUUUUGGUGGUGAUCCGGAUCGCCUUCUGGAUCCAGGAAUUUUUUGAAGGAUUCUUUAUCAUUGUGAGAUAGGGCAAAUUUUGGAAUUUUUGCAUUUAACUCUAUAAAAAUGUCCAGAGUCUUUAGUAAAAAAUGACACAAAAGGAUCUCAGUGAGUUUUAUGAGGUGUCAAAGGUUGAUCCUGAUUCAGACAAAAUUCUGGAUACUGUGAUCCAGAACACACAAAAAUAAGGGUGUCGUUGGAAUUUUCAAAGCUGAAAGAUAACCAAUGGGUGGCACAGUGGUGUAGAUGGGCAGUACAGUGGUGUAGUGGUUAGCACUGUCGCCGCACAGCCAGAAGGUCCUGGGUUCGAAUCUGGGUCAGGGCAUUUCUUGUUUUAGGAACAUUAUGAACAGCGAACAUACCAGUUUAAACACAACUAGAAGUUAAUAAAAGACACGUAACAGUAAAAGUUUUGGUGUGAAUCACAAUAUAAGGGGGGACAUGAGCUGCUUGGCGGAGGUCUGCGCUCUCCGAGUGCUUUUCUAGUUUGUGAAAUAUUCUCUUUGUCCACUCUGUGCCAUCAACUUUCUUUAAAAAUGAAAAGAUUAGCAUAAUACUGUCAACUUAGGGAUAAGAAUUGAUAAGAUUUUAUUGAUAUUGAUGCCACUAUCGAUUCUGCUCAUUGAUCAGAUUUUUUUAAAUGGAUUUCCUUAUUGAUUCCUAUUUGGGAAAAAAACUGUGGACUUUGGACUGUUUCUGUUUACUCUUUCGCUCAGCCUCCAAUUUCCCUUAGUCCAAGAAAUUAUUGUCUUGUCUUGGUCAUUGGAAAAAAAGGGUCUCGACAAACUUUUAUCGCCAUGAUUUUAAUGAAAUCACCUCCACUAUCAACAUUAUAUCUAUGUGCUAAACAUGACAUUUGAUGCCAUUUUGACAUGCUUUCAGCUUUCCUGAAUUUCUACAGACUGGGUAAACACAGGUAGGAUGGGUAUGGUUAGGAUCUCGCCAGCCAGCAUGCAGACACGACUUAUAACAAUAUACAUGUGAUGAGUCUGUCAACACACACACUCACACACACACACAUACACACACUAACAGCCCUGCUGGUUUAGCCUGGUGGCAGGCUGCCGGUUAAUCACUGUGUUAAUGUCAGUAAGCUGAUCAGUCAGUUGGGUUAUUUUGAUGUUUGUCAGAGAAACCAUAAGGCUACAUGACUAAACAGAAUGACUCACUUCCCGUCUCUUCCAGUCAAUUCAUCUUUCUAUUCAACUUUGCAUCUAUCCAUCUGUGCAUGUAGGCUGGUACAUGGAGUUUUACGUUACAUGUUACUAUUGUUUCUGGGAAAUACCCGUUCUCCAAGAACUCACCAAGAAUGUGCAGAACUUGUAUCAGACAGUGAUAACUUAAGACUACUACUCCGAGGAACCAUAAACUUUAAGUCCAACCCCGAUCGUUUUUUAAUUUUAUUUUUAAUUUAUUUUUUUAUUACUUAAAGUGUUCUCAGUGGUCUUUAAAACGUAAUUAUUAAGUUUUUAGCCAAAAUCAUAUUACCUGUGUCAUUUUCAAGGGCUUUUCUUCUGCAGAGCUCCAGUAGCUCAUUAGCAAUUUGCCUCUGAGUCGUGGGUGAAGACAGCGCUGUUUUGCACACUCCCCUUCACACUAGCUUGCAGCCUAACAUUGCUGGUGUAGGAGAAGUAGCAGGUAACAUUGGAUCCAAGCUCCGGGAGUGGUGCUUGGAUUUGCUACAUAGAAAAUCGCUCUGUUUCUGAACCUGCCGAUUGGGUCUGCCAGAGAUUCACAGCAAUUUGAAUGCAGAAAUACUUAGAGAUGCAAUUUAGCACUUAGUUUUCUCAUGAUGUGUCCUGUACAAUGAGAAAAAUCGUAUAUGAACAUGGAGACAACAAGAAAAACAUGAUUUUCAUCGGAGUGGGUCUUUAAAGCUCCUGUGAGGAACUUUCAGUAUUGUGUCGAUUCUAAGCAACAAAGAGAUACCUCUUGUUUUUUUGGGCUGAUUUUGUCCUGCUCAACUUGGUUGCGUUUUGUGACAAAACGUCAGAUUAUAACAGCAUGGUACUUUAUUGUUAUUGUAUUUCCUCUUUCAAAAGAGAUAGGCCAACAUUUGGAGUUUGUUUGAUACAACACUUUCAGAAGAAGUGAAAUAAUCUGUAUUACAUUCUUUGAUUUGGGUAUACAGCCAGCAAACAAUAAGAUCAGGUACACAUGCAGACUGCAGACAAGGUUAAACAAAUAGAUUGGAUCUACAUCCUCAAAACAUUGUGAAGAAAAUGUUGAUGUUGAAAGGGUGUUGGUCAAAAACCAGUAUAGACUGUUCUUCUUCAAUGAUGUCUCUCCAUACCAGUACCUAUGCCAUGGACACUAAUGUGUUCCCAUGGCAUUACAGAUGCAGUGGCGAUUGCUCUAAGACUGCAAGGGAAGCUCGGCUUCCCUUAAAAUGUCAUCCCCCCAAAAAAAGAAAAAGUGGUGAAAUACGUACUGCUGUGUGUACAUUUCAUUACUAAAUACGCACUAGAAAGCCUUCAACUUUUGUUCAGACACUGUGAUAAGAAGUUGAUAAUCACAGGUAACCGGCAUAACUUCGUUCUCAUUCAUCCUCGCAGCGCCUCAGCGCUUCAAACAGCCUGACGCUGGGCUUCUGCUGACUUCAAUGUGGAAGCUCAAAGUGGGUUGUUCCAGCAGCGAAACUAGACGCUCAUUGGAUAAAUGCUGGGCUUUGUCCCGCCCAAUGGAAGCUAAGCUUCACUGGAGUUCUAUGGCGAGAGGGCAGUCCCGACUUUCUCCCGGACUCCAAGCUUCUGCAUUCAUGAUUGGAUGAGCUGUCUGAGGCGAAAUCCUUUUUUGAUUGACAGCUAAACAAGCGAAUCAGCGAUCUUGAAGAAUAAAACAUCUACCAGAGCAUUUUCUAAGUUAUUCAUUCCGUUGGUCUUAACUGCUCCAGAGACUUUACCGAUCCUCAGCGACUUUUGUCUUUGUUAAAAACGACUGCCGUUGUGUUUGGCGACUCUGUUCUGUUACAUACUAAUAAACAAAUACAAUUAUGAUGUAGGCCAGAAAAAUGAGCUUCCCCUCCUUGAAAGACCAGCAGCCGCCACUGUACAGAUGUUACCUUUUGCUUCUUACAACCUGGGUGCUUUCCCUGUUAGAAUGGAGAAAGUGAUCUCCAUGAUUCCUUCACUGAAUGUAAAAUGGUGAUUAUUCAGACAACAGGACAGUUUUCCACUGUGUCCAUCAUGAAAGGACUCAGGCACAGAGAUUACUUGCCCACAUUCAUACAGUUCCCUCUUUGUCAGGUACAGUUUAAACCUGCAUUUAUGGAUAGAGCGAUGACCUGUGUUCACAGACAGUGAACGGUCUCUGGAUGUGAUUUUUCAGCCUAUGCAGUAAGUUCCACUACAGACUUAAGUUUGUUACCUCCGCCAAGGAGGUUAUGUUUUCAGUAGCGUUUGUUGGUUUGUUUGUUUGUCUGUGAACAACUUUACGGAGAAAGUUACUGACAGAUUGACCUGAAAUUUUCACCAGAGGUGUGUCUCAGCCCCUCAGAUCCCAUUACAUUUUGGUGGCGAUCCGGAUCGCCUUCUGGAUCCAGGAAUUUUUUGAAGGAUUCUUUAUCAUUGUGAGAUAGGGCAAAUUUUGGAAUUUUUGCAUUUAACUCUAUGAAAAUGUCCAGAGUCUUUAGUAAAAAAUUACACAAAAGGAUCUCAUUGAGUUUUAUGAGGUGUCAAAGGUUGAUCCUGAUCCAGACAAAAUUCUGGAUACUGUGAUCCAGAACACACAAAAAUAAGGGUGUCGUUGGAAUUUUCAAUGCUGAAAGAUAACCAAUGGGCGGCACAGUGGUGUAGUUGUUAGCACCUUCGCCUCACAGUCAGGAGGUCCUGGGUUCAUAUCUGGGUCAAGGCAUUUUUUGUUUUAGGAACAUUAUGAACAGUGAACAUACCAGUUUAAACACAAAUAAAAGUUCAUAAAAGACACGUAACAGUAAAAGUUUUGGUGUGAAUCACAAUAUAAGGGGGGACAUGAGCUGCUUGGCGGAGGUCUGCGCUCUCCUAGUGCUUUUCUAGUUCUUAAUGCAAUGCCAGUCAAAGGCCAAAGAUCAUAGCUAAUUCUUUAAUUAUAGUUUUCAUCCCUAAGUUUUUGUACUGAGAUUUCUCUGCAUCUUUUAAUGGUACUAUGUAUUGUAGAUAACAGAAACCCCAAAUAAUUAAUGACUUCAAAGUAAAUUUGGUGAACUGAUUUCUCACACAUUUACUGCUUUCCAUGAUCCACCUUUAACACCCUCAGCCCCACUGAAAAGACCUUUUUAUUCCCUAUCAUGUUUUUUAAGCUGUUUCAAAUUAAACAAAUUAGUUGGGAAAUAUUUCUCCAGGUGUUAACUGUUAUCCAAGGCCCAAUUAUUGAAUCAUGAAAAUGACCACGUGCUGUUUCUCUAUUUCCAAGAGCCAGAAUGGAUUAAUUGGCACCUGGUUCCUUUUUUUUUUCUUGAUUUAUUCUAUUUUUUAAAUUUAAUUGACAGACAAUUAUUAAUAUCCUGUUCCUACCUUCUGCAAAUUAUAAAGACGGAAUAUUUUUCCCCUGAUCAACUGCAGUCGGUCCUCCAGAACUAGCAAGGCUGUUUCAAUGGCAAAAGACUUUAACCAGUCAUUGGUCCUUCUGUGAAUGUCACCACUUUUGAUAAUAUUGGAGAAAAAAGAAAGAUACUUAGGGUUUGAUAACUGUCGUGAAACAUUGCCAAAGUACAGAGGCAAAAAGCCUGAGUUGUACUUUGAUGAAGGGAAAUCAUUACAGCCUGUCUGUCUUUUGUUUGGCUUUGCUUACAUUUUUGUUCAAUGCAAAAUAUUACCUCUUGUCCAUGAAUAUAUAUUUGAGUAGCCAAACUGUCAAACUGACACCACAUGACUGACUUUCUUCUUUUGUUGCUUUUUGUCUCAGGGAUGGAUUCUUUGUCCUCCUCCUCUUCGAUUUGUGCCUUGGUUUUCCAUCCCCUCGCCCCUGCAGAGCAACGGCUGACAGGACCACAGACAUACAGUUUGUUAGUUUGGCUUUUUCCUCCCUGAGGGGCAUUUGGCCUUCAACACUGAGAGGGACAGUAAGAGCAAAAAAGCAAAGGAAAGGAUAGGAAGGAUUGGACAGUGCAAUAAUCAUCGAAGAGCUGAAAGAAAAAGAACCACUCCUCUUGAUCUUUCUCCUCCUCUGUUAGUACUUUCCAUCUCACUUCAUCCCCUCCUCCCUGCCUCUCUCUCUGGCCUUUUCGUCGCAUUGAUCAGCAACACUGACAGCAAAACAGAGAGGAGGGAAACGUUUUGUGAUAUUUUGGCAGGUGAGAGGGAGGGAGGCAGAGAGAGAAAAGGAGCGCAGAAGAGGAGGAAACAAGGAAGGAGAUGAGACAUGGAGAAGAGAAGCAAGGAGGGGUGGUCUGCUUGAAUUUUCCAUUAAAAGAAUCAACUGCGGCAGUCUGGGGAACGUAGAGAUAGAUGAAAAGACAGAGAAAGAAAGAGACGAUGGGUUGAUCUCUCUUGCUAUUGCUCUGUGACACAAAGGCUCACACUGGUAUACACACAUUCAUGCAAUUCAGUAUCGACAGGCGUCCCUGGAAUGAGGAUAUAAUUCUGUCAAUGCUCUAACACCUGUGGUAACACAGACAGGCGAGCAAGUGAGCGAGCAAGAGAGAGAGUGAGAGAAGGUUUGAGGUUGAAGUGGAUUUCUAUAUGGCAGAUUGGGAUUUUUUCUUUCCUUUGUGCACCUACAGGAAUAAACAAGACAAUAACCCUGCUGCAGUUUGUGGCUGAAUAUAUGUGCUAUGAAUAUAUCUAAAAUCUUAAUACACGUGCGUAAUGUAGCUCUCAUAAUAGCAAUCACAGCAUCAUGGCAAACUGCUUGUGAGUCUGAACUAACACAUUAAACUGUAGUAUCCAUAGACUGUAUAUACUAUGGACAACUUGGUUCUUGGAUUUUCUCCACUUCCUGAAAUCAACAUUGCACACUAGCAUUGUAUGCAUCAAACAGCAUAUCCCCCGGGUGAGCUACGCAAUCUUUGUACUCCCAUAGGCUGUAUCAAGUUUUCAAUCAUAGAAACAUGAACCCCCUAAUAACUUUUAAAAAUGGAGCUGUACAGAAAAAAGAGGACUUGGGCACAAACCAGUCUUACAGUAACUACAUGUCAACAUCACAACCAGGGGGGAGAAAAAUGUAUGUUCUAUGUAAUAAAUUUCUAAAGUUUGUCCACAGCUCCAUAGUGAUUGCUGGAGGAGGCAGGUUUUAUGACCUGUACUGCAGCCCAUCACCAGAGGGUGCUGUACUUGCGGUGGAUUUACCCAGCAAGGAGGCAGACGGUGUCCAUGCUAUAUACAGUUUAUGGUAGUAUCUGGCUGAUUUUUGGAGUUGGACGGCGAAUAUUAUUAACUGCUACAUUUGACUUUGAUUGGAGGCAGUGUGAAUUUCCUCAAAAAAAAAAAAAAAAAUAGAAAAGCACAAGAAAAACAACAACACACACAACACAAAAAUCAAUGACGAGACAAAAGUACACACCUUGUCUGGAACGAGAAGAAUCAACCUAAACUGAAAGUUGGUCACAGAAGCCAUAAACAAAGGUGAGAUAAAAGAUGUCUUUUACAUGCUAAGGACCACUCCUACUGCACUCAUGCUGAAGCACUGAACGAGCACUGGGUUUUUUGUAGCUGCAGGGUCCAAAUGUAACAGAGUUUUUGAGUUCUGAACACAACAUGAAGUGUUUGCAAGAAGUUGAAACUGUUUGUCUUCCUCCUGAAUCAUGUCAGGCAUUGCCUCUUGCCUUGUAUGAGCGUGUGACACCUUUUAUAAAAAUGCAGCAGUGGCAUAAUGGUUUCCUCUCUGAGUCAAGCUUCAAUAAUUUCCUGUUGGUGAGAAACCAGACAAGCCUUGAGCCUGUUUACUUUGGAUGACAGCUCUGUAGGGUUUGCAUUAGACAUUAUCUACUAACUGGUGUCUCCUCUAGGCAUGUGGCAAAUAAAGAUGCCAUCCGUACAAUUGUCUGGUGAAAAUACAAGAAAAAAACAACAGAAACAAAAGAAAACUAGAAAAGCACUCGGAGAGCGCAGACCUCCGCCAAGCAGCUCAUGUCCCCCCUUAUAUUGUGAUUCACACCAAAACUUUUACUGUUACGUGUCUUUUCUUAACUUUUAUUUGUGUUUAAACUGGUAUGUUCACUGUUCAUAAUGUUCCUAAAACAACAAAGCUCAUAUUAGAUACAUAAAUGCAUGAUUUAUCAUGCAAUAUUUGUAAGCGUACACUUCCUUGUAUCUUCAUUGGUUAUCUUUCAGCAUUGAAAAUUCCAACAACACCCUUAUUUUUGUGUGUUCUGGAUCACAGUAUCCAUAAUUUUGUCUGGAUCAGGAUCAACCUUUGACAAAAGUGUAAUUUUUUACUAAAGACUCUGGCCAUUUUUAUAGAGUUAAAUGCAAAAAUUCCAAAAUUUGCCCUAUCUCACAAUGAUAAAGAAUCCUUCAAAAAAUUCUUGGAUCCAGAAGGCGAUCUGGAUCACCACCAAAAUGUAAUGGGAUCCUCCUGGGGCUGAGACGCACCUCUGGUGAAAAUUUCAGGUCAAUCCGUCAGUAACUUUCUCCGUAAAGUUGCUAACAGACAAACCAACAAACAAACCAACGCUAUAUUUGGUCAUCCUCCUGGAGGUGAACCUGACAUUGUUGUUGGCAGCGAUUCAGGCCCAUCAAUCCUGCCAGCACAGUGAGGGAGCCUGAUGUACAGGUAGCAAUUCCAACUAGAAAAGCACUCGGAGAGCGCAGACCUCCGCCAAGAAGAUCAUGUCCCCCCUUAAACAAGAAAUGCCCUGACCGGGAUUCAAACCCAGGACCUGCUGGUUGUGAGGCGACAGUGCUAACCACUACACCACUGUGCCGCCCAUUGGUUAUCUUUCAGCAUUGAAAAUUCCAAAGACACCCUUAUUUUUUUUAUGUGUUCUGGAUCACAGUAUACGGAAUUUUGUCCGGAUCACCACCAAAAUUUAACAGGAUCCUUCUUGGGCUGAGACACACCUCUGGUGAAAAUUUCAGGUCAAUCCGUCUGUUACUUUCUCCGUAAAGUUGCUAACAGACAAACAAACAAACAAACAAACCAACGCUACCGAAAACAUAACCUCCUUGGCGAAGGUAAAUCUGCACAUGAGGCUCAAAAGUUUAUCAAAGGUGUGAUCAGCUAAGAUUUAAUGCUCACCAUUUUGCAUGCCAGCAUAAGCGCACUAUAGUACAGUAGAGAACUAGAUUUUACUCUUACUUGAAAUGCUUCACGCAGCACAGAAAAAGCAGGCCUGACUGAUGACAGUUUGCACAACAAAAGGAAAAAGGAAAACACAUCUCUGUUGAUUUUAAAGGACUGAGAAGAAGAAAGAAAAGCUUCAACUUCAGUCUGAAGAAGACAGAAGAGACAUCGACUCUUUUUGGCAGGAGAUGGGAGAGUGAUGGUCGACUACCAAGAGAAAGACCCCUGACUAUAGCUGCGAUUACUUCACAUCAACAGCUACUCUCUCCGUCAUGCAAACAUGUGUGCACCUCAUUAAGAAAUGGUUGCCACAAUUAAGUAAGUUCAUGAAGGGAAAAAUGCGGGUAAAUCUAUUGAUGACUAAAACCCAUGCUGCAACAGGUUUCAGUUUCUUUAUCCCCUUUUUAUUUGUCAUUUUCAGUAACACAAAUAAAGCAAAAAAGCCCAUGAAAGGUUGAUCACUCUCACGUGUCAUCAGUGGUUAUUCUUUGAGCAGGCUUUGUGUUUCUUUUGUACCGGGGUUUUGGGGUAUCUACAUCCAACAGUGCCUCAAAUUGAACUGCAUCUCACUAAAUACAGAGUUUGGCUGAAUUGAAUUUUACCCUCACAAAAGAGCUCUGUGGUAUGCUGCAAUCUCUCAUCCUCAAGGUCACUUACGCUUUCAACACACUUUCCUCCUUGCAGGAAGAAUGUUUUUUGAAAGAGUGAGGAAAAUAAAACGGGAAAAUAUGCAGUCAGCCAGAGAGGACAAGGUUUUGAUGAGACAACAGAUGUUCCACCUUUCAUAAACCUUGACCUAAGAAGAACACAAAAGACAUGUAGGGAAGAAAAGAGAGGCGAAGGAACGUAAAUAAGAGGAAGGCAAAAGAAGAUGGAGAUGCUGAGACAUAGACACAGGAAAUGGGUAAGCAUUUUUUAUCCCCUCCAUAUCUAUACAUAUCUUUUUGAAGGCGUAUUUUCAUGCUAAUCAAUCCUCAAUAUCAACACAAGGAAAGUGUACUUGGCUUUGUCCACUCUGCACUUCGGCACAGUCUGGAGAGUCAGAGACUGCAGAGGCAGGGUAAUAGACAGAGAGGUUUUUGAAAUAAAGAGUUCAAUAAACAUGAUCUUUCUUUGUGUAUCCCUUAUAUUGACAGCAGUGAUUCACUAGCAAAUCUACCCUGGAGAGGAUAUUUGCUUGCAAACAAAGACAGACAACAUUCAAACAAAAAGGAUCAUUUAGGUUCUAAGGCCCCAAGGAUCGAUGACGUCAAACUGCAGCUCGCGCAUGCAAAUUAAAAAGAAAAACAACAACAAUGAUGGUGGACAUACAGGGUAUUCUUUACGUUUGUUUUGCCCUUUUGGGGCUAAUUUCAGCCUUGCAAGUGAACCUUGUUUUAUACAAUUACAUCCACCAGUCAGCCAGCUCACAGAGGCGUCUGCUUUGUUAUAGCCGCCACACCGUCACAUGGACCUGGCGCACUAGCGUAGCUUCUGCAAACAAUGCAUGACGCAUCACGCUGUUAUGAUUCAUCGGCCAAUCAGGUAGCUUUGUUCCUGAAUGUUUUUUAAGCAGCACCAGAUAGGAUUGAGUUUGAAGGCUACGUGUGGACGCAGAUAUUUUUGAGAACUAACACGUGUGGACAAUAAAAUAUCCUGAUAAAUAAAUAUCUAUAUACGUGUAGUCCGGGCCUGAGUCUUAACAUCCUUUUUUUGUGUGUGUCAAAAUGUUACCAAAGCCACCUUUCCUCAAGAUUUCUUUGCAUAUUGAGUUUCCUUCCCCACAAGUUUAUAGAAAGUUUCAAAAUUUCAUCUUCAUUUUUUCUUCGUUUUAAGGCUUCAUUUCAGUUUAGUUUUAACUUUUUGAAAAUGCUCAAUUUCAAUUUAGUUUGUCUACUUUUUUGUUAAUUUCUGGUGUUAGUUUUUUUGUAAUAUGGGAUUCUUAUAAAGAACAGGACCCAAAUGAAAAGGAAAAUUUUCUAGCAAUAACUGAAAAGUUACUCCAUUUGGCUGACUGUCUUGUCAAAUUCAGGACUUGUGUUAAAAUUGAUUACAUGAAGGGUGAAACAUCAACUAAUGAAUGCUGUUUAUUGGUGAGUGGGCUUGUUAGCACAUAACUCAUUGCAGGUAUAGUACUUCGCUAGUAUUGGAUGGACCCAUGCUGAGUGGUGGGCUCUGUCAAUGGAAUAGCAGAGCUACAGUGAAUAUUCGAGCAGCCCCUCUAGGGUGUAUGUAUCCAUGUGGAGCCACUCUCUAUCCAUGAACUUUCAAAGUGGAUAGCCCAGCAGCAACCUUCUCCCUUCCCAUCAUGACAAACAUAAAAGGUUAAUCCAUUCAGAUCUACAAAUAGAGGGAUUGUUUUGUUUGACAGAAUAAGAAUGACAGUGCUCUGUAAAACUAUUAUAUGAUAUUGUAUUAUAUAAACUCAUUUAGUGCCAUUGAAAGAUUUUGAUGGAUCUUUCCGUUUUUUUGUUUUCCACCAGAGGGCGCUCCUCCCCAACAUGCGAUUAAGUUUGGGGUUGAUGUGAACGCAGAAAAGCCGACAAAUUCAUCAUGACCCACUGGCAGCACAAUGACACCCCGAAAAAUUGUUUGUCUACUUGAUGCGAGGGUACGGUACCAGGAUCUCCUCUGGAUUCAGAGACGGUAGCAUUGUGCCCACAGGAGCCAAUGCACCAAGACCAUUAGAUCUUGGCUUUGACUUUGGCAUUUUCGUACUCUCCUCAUAGAGAAAAAACACUCCACCACUAGGCUAAUGGGCACACAUGAUGGCACACGUCUCACUGGCAAGUACUUAUUUUUGUUAUUUUAACCGGUACUGGUGAGCAAGACUUAGCCGGAAUUCAGCGACAGUCCCGGUGAGGAGGAUGCAAGCAAAAAAUUACCCCUUUCUUUUGAGAUAUAGCUCUUAAUUCUAGUCCAAGCACAAGAUAUUCUGUGGGUCCUGAAAGAUACGAAAAUUUCUGUUGUGGUCAAUGGUGGCACUGGGUGAAAACUGCAUAAAUGAACCUGGCACUGAAUGAGUUAAUAUUAUUAUAUUGAAUGUUGUAUUUAAUUUCUCAACCAUUUUUUCAAGAAUGACCAGGAUGCUAUUUUGACUACAAAGAGCAAUUCUGUAGUCAGCAAAGGAACAUGAAAUUGUCUCAGUGUCAAGGAUGACAAUUUUGUCUUUCAAUUUUAAAUGUUAACACUCAAUACAACUCUAGAUCAGUUAUCUUUUCCUGUAAAGCCUAGCAUUCAUUAUCAUUACUGUUAUUGAAAAUGUUUUUCACAUUUUAGUUUUGUUGGUUAGUAUUAAUAAUAAACCUGUCCCCUCCACACACACAUAAGAUUAGAAAUGAUUUUUCUCAUCAGGAACUGAAGUACACCAAUCAGCAGACAUUUAUUUAAGCAUCAUAAUUUAGCCCAAAUAUUGUAUCAUUGAGGUUACACAGAGCUUCCAAGCACCAUGUUACACUGCAGCCAGUGCAAGUAAAAAUUAUGCCUCACACACAAACUCAGCAUGGCUGAAACCGCUUACCAAAAAGGCAAUUGCAGUACAUUGUACUCCUGAGGUUCACUCACCUGAACCUGAAGUGAGGAAACUCUCAUUCAUUCAUAGGUAGGGCAAACAGUAAGUGAAUGGUUUUUACAGAGUUGUAGCUUUGGUGACAUUUGAAAUAAAAAUAUUGAAAUAAAAAAAAAAUUUAGUCUUAGGCCCCAACUACACAAAUGCGGAUAUAUUUCAAACCGCACAUAUUUAUGUCCGAUUAGGCCUCCCUACCACGCCAAAACGGGAGUUUGGAACACUCAAACCGGAUAAAUAUGAAUCGGAAAAAACAAGUGGAGAAAUAAAAAAAUAUCCAUAUAAGUGAAUUCGUGUGGUUGAACUUCUACGGAUCGAUGACGUCAAACCGCAGCUCGCACAUGCAAAUUAAAAAGAAAAACAACAACAACAACAACAACAACGAUGGCGGACAUACAGGGUAUUCUUUGUUUGUUUGUUAUAGCCGCCACACCGUCACAUGGACCCGACGCACUAGCGUAACUUCCGCAAACAAUGCAUGACACAUCACGCUGUUGCGAUUCAUCGGCCAAUCAGGUAGCUUUGUUCCUGAAUUUUUUUAAGCGGCACCAGAUAGGAUUCAGUUUGAAGGCUAUGUGUGGAUGCAGAUAUUUUUGAGAACUAACACGUGUGGACAGAUACAUUUAUUUAGAAGGGAGUACAAAAAUAUCCUAAUAAAUAAAUAUCUAUACAUGUGUAGUCCGGGCCUUAGAGUUGUAGCAUAUUCAUGACUUGGAAUCUGCAUAAAUGAUGAACUUUGUUUGAGUGCUGUCUAAGCUGUUUCUUUGCAGGCAGCCCACUCUGUAUCUGCUGGGGAAAAAAUGAAGGAAAAAAGAAAAAAAGGAGAUUUUUUUUUUGAGAAGUUCACAGCUGGACAUCACUAUGAGAAUGUCUGUCAUAAAAGUGGCCUAAAAUAAUAAUAAUGAUUAUGAUUAUUAUUGGGAUCAUAUUUCUCAUUUAAAGAGGCUGGUUUAAAUGCCCUUCUUAAUCCCUCCCACCUGUAGAUGAUUUUUUUUCUUUUGUUUAGUUUUUUACCCCCAGAACUGCCACUCAAUCAGCCUGGAGUUUGUUAAUUCAUAUUUAUUAAUAUGUAAUUAAUUAAUCACUAUAUGCUUGUUACAGACAUGUGAAAACUUUGAAUAUGUUAUUGGACAGAAACUCAAAAAAUCUAUGAAAACUUAAGCUAAAGGCUACAGAAACUGAGAGACAUGAGUAAAUUACUUUAAAAUGGGAUAUCAAUGCUUCGCAAAUGUUGUAGGAAUAAUUUUAUUUUUACACCAAGAGAAAUUAGAAAGCUAUCUUUCCAAGAGGAGAGGGUUGUUGAAAAUACCUUGUUUCCUCCACCUGACAUUCCUGGUGAAGAUUUGUCCACUUUCCCAGGUGGUGUUGAAUCAGAAGUUGAGACUGCAAACCUGAUGAAAGUAUUCUCAAUCUUUAGUAGUUAUACUAAUAAUAACCUUGACUUUAACCGUGUCCCUGUAUGUGCGAGCCCAUUCACUGUGAACCUUUUACUCCUUUGUUGUCUGAAUUGAAUAAGCAUGUGAAAAGUCAUUUUUCUGCUAGACCUUGGCUUUCUCCCACUACCUUAGGCCUUCAUAAAAAGGGGCACAAUGAUAGAGAAGAUAGAAAAAUAAAACACAGGGAGCUGUCUUACGUAUUGGAUCUGCUCACCACCAAAACCAUGGCAACCCAUCAGUGUUACCUUGAACAAGACAAAAACUCAAACUACUGCUGUAAACAAUUCUCAGAGUGAGCAUACUCAAUGGUGACAGGUUUAAAAAGUAAAGAGCUGCAGUAUAAUCCUGUGAUAACAGGAAAAAAAGUAGAAGAAAUGACUUUGGAAACAGGAACAUUUACAAAUAUUCAGUGGCAAAAAGUCUCUGCUACACACUGUCAGUGGCAGACAUUGUUUUCAAGACAGAGUUGAAACGACUAAAGAUGAAAUGUGAUUCUUUGAAUUCAAACCUCAUAGCAGAGUGUCUGUUUUACUCUGAACAUCAAGGUCUGUUGAUCAAAGAGACUUAGGGCUAAGCAGGCAAAAGUGGGUGCAUUGUGCAAGUCCCACAGAUAAUAGUUGCUCUAAAUGCGGGGUUAGAGUUAAGGUAUUUUUUAGUUACACUGCGCAGUACAGACUUGGUAGGAAUGGAGUACAGGUGCAGCUCAAAAAAAAUUUUGACAUACUAGAAAAAAGUUCAUUUUUCCUGAAAUUCAAUUUUUUAAAAAGUGAAAGUGAAAUAUUUAUAUAUUUUUUGUUUAAAUCUCGAUCACUAGGACUUAUAACUUAGGAAAUAAAAAAUCCACAUUCUUAAAACAUUAAAACAUUACAUAACACUCAUAACAAUGUACAGAAUUGUUGACCUGGAAAAUUACGUUCAAUUAAGCACUCAGGUCUUGGUCAGAGCUACUGCAUCAGUGCAACAUGGCAUGAAGGCGAUCAGUCUGGGGCUCUGCUGGGGUGUUAUCAAUGCCCAGGUUGCUCUAAUGGCUCCUUCAGCUUGUCUGCAUUGUUGGCUUUGGUCUCUCUCACCUUUCUCUUGACAAUGCCCCAGAGAUUCUCCAUGGGAUUCAGGUCAGGCUAGUUGGCUGGCCAAUCGAGCACAAUAACACCAUGGUCAGCAGACCAGUUUCUGGUAGUUUGGCACUGUAGGCAGAUCCUGCAGGAAAAAGAAAUCUGUAUCUCCAUAAUUCCUCUCAGCAGAUGUAAGCAUGAAGAUCUCUAAAAUCUCCUGGUAGACUUUAGGCUGCACUGACACCUCAAACCAUCUAAGGGGGCUGUCACAUCUAUGUUGUUUGGUGCGGACUUUUGGAAUUUUCUGUUUAGUCCGAAAUAAAAUGAUAGGUGUGAAACCUCCCCAGGACCUCGAUCCAGACCAAACAGUCAGACCUUGGUCCGGCUGAAAGAGGUGAACUUGGUCUGGACCAAACUGAACCAUGGUCUGGUUCAUGCCCAGUGUGAAAGCAUUUUUUUGAAAGUUUUGGACCUUCAUACCAAUGACAAGUUAUACUUCACGAUUAAUAGCUUAGCUUUUCAAGAGUUUUACUACACAUACUUUCUCUCCAGAGUUGGUGUUGCAGGACUUGCAGGAUUGUAUACUUUCUUUUCCUUCCCUGUCGACCAUGAUAAGAGUGUCAUCUAAUGAUCAGGUUCAUGAGACUUCCUCAGACCAGUUUCAUGUACAGCCCUUCAGUUGUCGCUGUUGGAGGUAAAAAAUCGAACUAGUAUGAUGGUGGGAAUGACGAUUUCAUCCAUGUUUACACCAUUCAAGACCCGCGCUUUUUAAUGUGUUGAUGUCAGACGCCCGCCAGCCUGAUGACCAAUCAAUGUAAACCACAGAGACACGCAAAGCACGUAGUUAAUGACGAUAUCACAUGGGUUCAUCAUGUAAAGUAUGUUAGUUCAUUUGCAGUAAUGAAAGUGUGAAACCUAAACAGACCAAACCAAAUGUAUACAAUGUAACAAAAACACAGACCUUGAUUCGGAUCUUGGUCCAGACUUUCAGGUGCAAAAACACCCUAAGACUGCAGAAUCACCUUUUCACAGGCGCAUGAAUUCAAGCACCUUGGAUUCUGUGCUUUUCUGAUCUUCUUCCAGACUCUGGGACCUUGAUUUAGAAAUGAAAUGUAAAAGAUACUUACAUCUGGGAACAGGACUUUGGACCACUGAGCAGUUGUCCUUUUUUUUUCCUUUUAGCUCAGGUGAGAUACUUGUGACAUAGUUUCUGGUUCAGGAGUUUCUUGAUAGUAUGAACACGACACUAGCAGUCCUGGACACAUCCAGGUGUAGUGGCUCUUGAUGCUCUGACUCAUGCCUCAGUCCACUCCCUGUAAAGCUCCCCUAAGUUCUUGAAUCUGUUUUCUUUGUAGAUCCUCUCAAGGCUGCACUCAUCCCUGCUGCUCUCCCACCUUUUCCUCUCUCACUUUUGCCUUCAGUCAACUUUACAUUAAAGGCUCAUUUAUGCUUGCAAAACGUAUGGAAAUGUAUGCGUCCAUUUCAAACCAUGGUUCCGUCACUGCCCACUACCACUUACCAUAUACACCAGGGGGCAGGCCAGAGUCAAAAGUUUCUGACAACAACAAACAAAAAGAAACAUGGCCACUGUGGAGGAGCUAGUGAUGAUGUAUAUUUUGCAUAUGAGACGACAACGGAGGCAGUGUUGGAGGAGGCGGUGGUCGCUCAGGCCACUAAAUGCCUCGCGGUUGGAGGACAGAGAAUUCUUCAUAGUACCAAUGAUAGAAAUUGACAACGAUUGUCAUUUCAAUACUUCAGGAUGUCUGCCACCAUUGCAUAUCGGGUAGUGACAGCAGCAACACUGCCCCCUCGGUUUCUGGUAGUACUGCUCCGUCUUCUUUAUUAUUUGCAGGAUUGUUUAUUAUUUUUAGGACAACAAGCAUUUUUGAUGGCGAAAACUGACAGCUCUUUUUCUUCUCGUGCUGUUCUGCAGCAGUCAACCUUUUCUUCUUUGCUCAAGAAACAGCUGUUCACAUUUCCUUUAUUCAUGCAGUAACUACCACACGAUAUGUAGUGAAAAGGAAAACUGCCCAAAACAUGGUAGCCUGUCUAUUCAAUUAGAAUUCUGCUAUUCAGCCUAAGUGAAUUAAAACUUUUUAUCACACGUCAUGACAAUGAUUAUAUUGCCAUAUCAAUGUUUUGCCCCAACCCUAAUGAGCAGGACAACUUUUCAAUCAACUUUCCAACUGUCAAAUGUAAGCGAGAGUAACCUCGGGAUAUUUAUUUUUUUUAUUGCACUAUGGCUAGUCGGUUUGGCUAAUCAAACAAGCCAACCUGACCAAGACCUGAGUGCGUAAUUCAACAUAAUUGUCCGGAAGGUCGACAAUUCUGUGUAUUAAAUCCUUUUCUUAUCUGAGUGUUAUGUAAUGUUUUAAUUUUUUAAGAAUGUGAUUUUUUUUAUAAAAGAAAUAUGAAAUAUGAAUCUAGAUCAUAUGGCAGUUAGAUUUUUUAAAUUGAAUUACAGGAAAAAUUAACUUUUUUCUAGUAUGUCAAAACAGUUAAAUCAUGCUCAGUAAAUCGUCCAGUGGUAGUUUUGGCACUGUGGGCAGGUCAGCUGUCUCCCCUACAUAAUUGAUAACUUUUAAGUCCAGCAGAUGAUGGUUUUGGUAGUAUCUCUGAUGAGGUGACAACAAAGGCAUGCUGUUACCGCACUGUGUGACAUUAACUUUUGGAAUUUAGUGGAACUUUAUACAAACGUGUGUGCUGGCAAUAUACUGAGUAAGCAAGCAAGUCAAGUUUAUUUAUUCGGCACAUUUCAAGAGCAGACAUCACAGAGUGCUUCACAAUAAAAGUUUUAAAAGAAAACAGAGAGAUAAAAGCAUAAAUAAAUGGAAGCAGACAUAGGCAAAUUAAACAAAGGGCGAGUGUGUCUUCAGCUGCUUUUAAAAAACUCAUCCAUAGUAUCCACAGUUCUCAAUUCCAGUUUAACAGAGGCAACAUCCAACCCAAAGCCUCCUUUAGUUUUCAGUCUGGUGUGAGGUACGACAAAACUCUAAUCAAGAGACUUAAGAGUCCCGCUGGGCUUAUUUGGUCUCAGCAGAUCUUUGAUAGAAGCAGGUGUUUGACCAUGCAUAAGAGAAAAGCUACCCCAACAUCUCAGACAGCACAGUCCGAAGCAGAGAAAAGGGUUAACAAAUGUGUAUCAUUAGCUGCUCUGAUCAAUAAGACUUGACUUAAAUGAAACACACUUAUCAUUGUAAGCCCCUGACCUGUGAAUCAGCUUUGAUCUGGCCUAACAACUUAGUACAAAUGUAUAACACAGUGUUUAAUGGGCAUAUUUACUGCACUUUGUUUGUGUGUUUUCCCCUGUGGAGACACGGGGGGGGGGGGGGGGGCAACACUAUUAGCUGGACUCACAGCGAGCACUUAAGACUGACAGAGACAGAAAGCAGAAAGAGGAGAGGUGAAGCAUGUGAUAUGUAGAGUAAGGGUUUGGUCUAAUGUAAAAGUCAAGGCCAAGUUUAUUUCAUCAUUACUACUGCUGUGAUGAUGCACCAGCCUGCUGGGACAAGGGUGUUAAGCUUGGUUCCUCGAAGGCAGGCACCUACAGGUGUUUGACUCCCUGUGGUAUUUUACAGGCAUGCCUAAUGGGCCCUAAUCUGCUUAAAUUUGCUGCCUGCACUUUAACCUAUUAAGAAUUUUGACAUUGAAAACUGGACCUGAAAAUAUCUAGCACUGAUGGAGUCAUGCUGCACUGCUUUGUGACUGCUAACAAUCAUGGUAGAAGUGAUAACAUCUGCAAAACCUGAACAAUCAGUCUCCUUGGGCUCUAUUUUCAUGCCCGCCGGUGGCGCGGCGGAGGGUGGCGCACCCCGCGCAGUGAUAUUUUUGUCUGGUGGAGCCCGGCGCUUUAAGCCUACAUACAAAGAUUAUAAUAUUCAGUUUUGUGAGCCAAAUUUAUUUUAUAUGCCAACAUCUAUGAAAGAAAGAGCCAGGCCACGGAGCGCGAUGUGUCAUUACGCACAGAUGGUUCAGAUUUUAAUGCCAUUAUUGGAAUUUAUGUUGUGAUCUGUUCGCACAACCCACCUUUGUCACGUGAGGUUUAAAUAUAUGCAACUUGAUGUGUCUUUAUUUGUGUAAAAGGGUGUUUGUCUUACCAGUGGGUCCAACAUGACACACACCAAAUCCAUCUGUGCUUAUUUGAGAGAGUGUGCAGGAUGCCCACUGCAGCGUUUACAGUGACACUUGUUGAGGAGCUGCCUUCUGUUGCCAUCGUGUGGCAUUGCUGUCUUCAGCCAUCUCUUGAUCUCUUUGACUACUGCAUGAAAAUUGUAAUACACCUCAGAUUUAAAGGUGAGGAGACGAGCUGAUGUGAUUGGCGACAACAGGUCUCGGCUGUGUUAAACCCACUUCACGCCUUAUCUCCUCCCUCUCUAUCAAUCAAUCAAUCAAUCAAUCAAAUUUUAUUUAUAUAGCGCCAAUUCACAACAGUCGUCAUCUCAAGACGCUUUCCAAAGAACAAGAGCAGGUCGAGACCACGCUCAUUGUUUGAUGAUCAAGAACCAACCUAAGAUGGGUUUUGGCCCAUCUCAACUAACAUGAGUAGCGGUGGCAAGGAAAAACUUCCUUUUAACAGGCAGAAACCUUGGGCAGGACCAGACUCAUGCUAGACAGCCACCAUGCCGCUGCUGGGUUGGGGAGGAAUGUAGAGAGAAGAGGGGAGAGGGGGAGAGGACAGGGGGAGGGAGAGAGACAGCAAGAUAGGGGAAAGGCGAGAGAGAAUUAGUACGGAGAGGGAGGGGGAGGGAGAGAGAGUAGGGAACGAGGGUGAGAGAGAGACAGGAGGCAGCAGGAACAACAGCAACAACGACAACAGCUCAUGUAAUGGUGAAACAAAAAGACGUUCAGUUUACAGGUUUAGGAUAUGAGAAAUAAUGGACAAUGUUGAAUUAAUUGAGUGUGAUUACAGUUAGCAGGCUUAAUCGUAGUCAGUUCUAUUUUGUAUGUCAAUAAUGACAGUGAGGCUGAUGUUCAUGUCUGCAGUAACAGUAACAGUCCAGAGGAAUCAGAGAGAAGAAGGAGCUCAGGGCCGGGGGGGGGGUCUCUGCAGCAACGGUCCAGAGAAGCCAAAGAGCCAAAGAGAUGGAGGAGCUCAGGGCCCAGGAUGGAUGCAGCUGGGGUCAGGCAGUUCCGCAGCAGACCGUUUGCAGCAUUAGUCCAGUGGCAGCUAAAAGACUCAGAGACACUCAGAGAGACAGAAAACUGGUCAGUGACUUAUAUGGGACAUAAAGAUCUAAAGAGGAGAUAGAGACAGAUUCUAGCUCAGUGUGCCAGAUAGCCCCGGCAGUCUAGGCCUAUAGCAGCAUAACUAAGAGCUGGUUCAAAUCAGCCCUGACUAUAGGCUUUAUCAAAGAGGAACGUUUUAAGUCUACUCUUGAAAGUUGAGAGUGUGUCUGCCCCCCGAACCUCGAGCGGUAAAUGAUUCCAGAGGAGAGGUGCCUGGUAGCUGAAAGCUCUUCCUCCAAUACUACUUUCAGAGACAUUUGGUACAACGAGCAGACCUGCAGACUGUGAGCGUAACGGUCUAGAUGGAAAGUACGGUAUAACUAGCUCUAUGACUUACACCGCUGGGAGGAGCAGAGUUAGGGAGGUGGGAUACUUAUGCCGGGCUGCACUGCUCACCAAAAUACCAAAAUGUGCUUGGGUAUGCCUUAUCGGCGCGGUGGACCUGACUUGCGCCGUGCCUGCGCUACACCGCCGGCAAGGCACAAAAGUAGCGCCACUAGAAGUUUCUGUUGUCAGCAGUGUUGCUAGUUACUUUUCAAAAAGUGGUAACUAAACUGCUGGUAACUCGGGUGUGGUGUCAUUUUUGGCUCUGACUUCUGACUUCCGAGGUAACUCGAACGCACCAUAAGUAACGUGUUACUGACAUCACAGGUUGUCAGUACCUCCAUGUUUGUUUUCAAAAUGCCACCACAGACUACCUCCACCUCUCUGACAUUUUUGCUCAUUUUUUCUUGGACUCUUUAACAACUGCAGCUCACAGCAGCUCAUACACGUCCUCUAUGUCCCAGUCCAGCAAAGCAAUGCUUGAAAAAACUGAUGACACCUCAAGCAGGAAACAUGUCACAGUUCUAGGAACGCUGUACAUAAAAUGACCUCUUGUUUUUAUUCCCAAUACCAAGACUGCAUAUAGAUUGAUUCUAUUCUGUGAUACUGAAUUAUAGUGCCAGAGGAGGAAAGCAGAACAAAAUCAAAGGUUAAGCAGAGGGCAGGAAAUUACACGGUGCGUCAUUUUCUUAUCUCACCUGGCAUAGUAAGCAAUCAUAAAGUCCUUACACUCUGGGCGCGAAUUCGCCAGGCAAAUUAUUAGCCUUUAUUAAGUCAAUGCAAGCUUCCACACCGGCGGCGAUUUUUCCGCGGGGCGAAAAGCGACUAUUUUUUUGCUCUUGUGUCGAAUUUUUCGGAGAUUUGCAGGCAAAUAUCUGGACCUGCUAGACCUUUGGCCAAUCAAAAGUCAUGUUGUUGAUGACGUCACAGACCCAUGCGGCUGCAGUUCACACGACACACACCACCACUAGCACCAAGAGCAACGAUGGGAGAGACUGUGUACCACAGAGUGGUCGCCCGGUGUGUAUAAGUGAAAGCGAUUUUUCGGACCGUCGAAUAUUUUCGCAUUUUCGUCUCGCUUUUUCAUUUCGCUCCGCAAAUUCACUGUUGUGUAAGGGCCUUUAGACUCAACUCUGUCAUUGAUCUGAAAAUGGACAUCAUAUGAUCAUUGAAGUUUCAUGUGUCUGUUUUUGUUAGCAGACUGUGUGAUAAUCUGAUUAUCUGUCCAGGGUACACCUAACCCCAGUCUUGGAGCCAGCAUAAUGUGACAGUAUAGGGACACUGAGUGUUAAUUGCUGGAGUAAUUAAUAUAUUUAGUCAGGCACCAGUCAAGCACUGUGGGUUUUAAAGCAAUAUGCACCACCAUCCAGAUGAUGCUUCUUUCAGGGGCAAAACUAAAACUUACAAAAAUGCCCUGUAGUAGGAGAGUUGUUUAGAAGAACUAAACUGGCCUUCUACAUUUCUAACUUGGUACCUGUUAAAAAACAAACAAACAAACAAACAAAAAAAAAAACACAUCAUGAAGCUUAAAAAUACAACAAAGACUGAUUUGUUGAGAAGUUAAAAUCCUAAAUCAAGCAAGAAUGGGGCUGUAAUAAGGCAAUAUGGUUUUAACAUUUGAUGCUGUCUCCUUACUAUUUCCAAGAGAGGGAUAAAAGCAGGAAUAAGAGAAAGCGGGGAGAAAGUGUAUAUAUGGGAAGAUACGAAACAAGGCAUAGGAGGAGAGUCAGUGGUACUAUGGAAGGAUUGGUAUAGGGAGAGAGCGGUGGCAGUCAGAAAAACAAGCACAGAAUAAACAGAUCGAAGAGGAGAGCAGAGAAAAACAGGCUGAGAGUGAGAGAAAGGCACGCAGGGCUGGAGGCAAACUCAGCAUGAGCUGCGGUGAGGGAUAGACUGAGGGAGGAAAUAAAUUGGGAGAAAAGAGAGUGAUCAGCAGCUUAAAGAUGAGGACAGAAAAAGAAAAAAAACAAGAUUGGUACAAGUAAAUGAUCAUAGGGGAUGAAGAUCAAUUUAUACAAAAGCAAGGGGGGAUUCUAAAAGCACAUUUCUCACAAGGUUCCUUAAGGUGGAGUGCACCAGGAUGGUGCUGCUUCCUUUAUUUCGGGAAUACCCCAAAAUUGCGUUGUCUGGUUUAAAAUCUUACUAGUUGUGUCAGCCCCUGAGGCUCUCAUCUCUAUUAACAUGUGUAUCACACAGGGGAGUAUGUCAAAACAACACAUACAGUCAUAAGCUCUGCAAAAACUCGAGAUUGAGAGUGAGCUGCAUGUAUGAACACACAAGCCAAGAUGUUUGGAUUCCUGGAUUUUUCCUGACAACCCCCUCAUAAAAUUUCUGAAGGUAAUCAAAGUUAAAUCUUGCCAGGAAAUACUCAUAGCAAGCAAACAGGUGGGUGUAUGGCCAGAGAUGACCAGGUUUAUCCAUUCAUUUUUUGCUAGUUUGAACUAUGGUCAGCUGCUUUCAGAUUUUCACACUAUUGCUUUUUUUAGGCUUGUGUGAUGUAUGCACAUGACUCUGCCAUCUCAUGUCCCUACCGGCAUUUGCUGAUGAAGAAAACUGGCACCGUCUUCUCACUAAACAUGACAGUCUAUUAGAGAACACAGGUGUGAGCAUUUCUGCCGUUUCUGCACAUGGUCAAAGGCCUGCCCUCAAUUUUGCUCAAGGAGGAUACUCACCAGCCUCCAAGAUAUUCAGUUUUGGUGCUGUUUCCUUGUGUUCAACAAAAAUCAUCAAAGUUUUUUAUUAGUCUAAAGAAUAUCCUCUGACAGAGUUUCCUGGGGUACCUAAUUGAGACAGAAAUGUUAAACAUUAUAAUUACAAGCAGAAUUUAUAAUGUGAAUGAGAACAACAGCCAAAUGUGAGUCAAUAUGAUUGGAAAGGGACACACAACAAAUACAGCUAACGCAGCAGCAGUUGUUAACUUUAGGCAUUCACCUAAAUGGACUUGAGAAACAGUAGGGCAACUUGGUUGAUUUGUGGUAAAAACACCACAUGUCCUGUAAAACAUAGAAAAAGCCAUCUUAAAGGGAGGGGAGAUUACCAAAAAAUGCUACUGCGACAAAUGUACCAAGGUAUCUUAGCAGCCAGCAACAAGCAAAGAAAAAUAAAGCAGUAUGAUAGCUGCGUGCAUGUGACAGCAGAGAGACAAAAUCAUGGUAAGGAAGCAGAUCUAGAGAAAGAACAGGCAAGACUGUUGAUCAAGGUGAGGAGAAACACGUCAAAGAAGAGGAGAAAAAAAUGUAAUAAGCAGAAGAGAUGUUUGAAUUGGCUCCCCUGUCUUCAUUACUUUUCUAUAGAGCUGUUUGGGAUGAACAAAGGGAGAGAGAUUCUUCAAUGUGUGUGGGUCCUGAAAGCCCAAGGCUACCUGGAACCUGCCUUUGUGUGUGUGUGUGUGUGUGUGUGUGUGUGUGUGUGUGUGUGUGUGUGUGUGUGUGUGUGUGUGUGUGUGUGUGCGCGCGCGCGUAUGUUCUCUCUGCACAUACAAAAGAAACACACACUCAGGAACAGGGUGCUCACUGCUUGCCAAUGGGUUCUUUUCAUAGGAGCCCAAGGCUUAACCUUCAGCUAACAUAAGCACAAGGCUAGCAAGAAUGAAUAGGAGCCUCACACCAGAGCACAGAAAAACACAGAAAUACAAAAAACACAUGACUAUGUCUUCGUACGACCGCUUAUUCCUCCCUCCCUCUAACUGUCCUUCUUUUUUCUCCAUGCUGUCCUCUCAUGAUCUGCAGUAGAACCAUCACAAGAUGGCGCAGAUGUGUCCAGAUGCCGUCGUGACUACUCCGCAUAGAUUGUGCUUUUUGUUCGUUUUUUUCUCAGUUAUCCUUAGCUCUUUAACCCCUCUUUGUUUCAGUCUAAUUACAUAUGACCAUAGCACACUACUUAACUUCGCUAGCAGGUCUAUCUACCCAUUUUUUGAAGUUUUGAGUGAGAGCUCUACCUGGCCGAAGGAGAUCUUACGGAGCACGGAGUGUAACCAGGGGAAAUGGCCACCAAAGUUCUUCCCCCAGGCCACUCGGAUCCUGAACUCCUCAUAACACCCACCCCAUAACUGACUUCACAACACCCUCUGAACAGAAUGUACUGCAGAAGAUAACUUACUGGUCACUUUACCUGUUUACCUCUGUUACCUUGUUUACUUGUACAUAGGAGUCAAUAUUUUUAAUUAUUUUUAUUUUAUUUUUAUUUUACGGUUAUUGUACAUAGGAUGUAUAUAAGAGUGUAUAUUUAUCUUAUUUCUAUUUUUAUUUUAUCUCUUUCUAUAUAUUAUUUGAUUUUCUUAUUAUUAUUAUUAUCAUUUUUUUUUUUUUUACAUACUUGUGUUCUAUUCAUAUUCUGUUUCUUUGGCACAAUCACAGACGUCACUUUCAUUUCACUGCCACUGUACCUGUACAUUUAGGCAUGUGACAAAUAAAACUUGAAACUUGAAACUAGAUGAGGUCAUAGAAAAAAAUCUAUCUACAGUAUCUAUCUAUCUAUCUAUCUAUCUAUCUAUCUAUCUAUCUAUCUAUCUAUCUAUCUAUCUAAAAAAUUUGCAACAAGGAGAAAGGACGACAAAAUCCUGUUCAUACUGUAAUACUAUUCCUCUUGAGUAUGGUGUCACACCAAGUGUUUAAGGUGCUCAGAAUUCACGUCCGUUUUGAUUUGGCUUUUUUUUUUGUUAUUAGGUUAGACACGGCUUAGGGGGGUUACCUUUUACACAUUUUGUCACUUAAUGACCUCAAAAGUUAAGCCUUGAUGGAAAAUGUCUGAGGCUAGCUGUUGGUGUCCACCUAACUCCCUUUUUACUGAUUCAAGCAUACACUGUUGUUUACAUACCAAUUGGAAAAUGACUUCUGUGUUAUCACUAAACAAUGCUGGGACACUCCAUCCACUCAAGCACUCCAGUCAGAGAGUGAAUCCAAGAAACACAGUUUUAGUUAGCCCUUUGUAUUCUUCUUUCUAGCAACAUAACACUAUUUUUUACAGUACUCAAUUUUACAUCGAUUGUAUAUGUGGUCUCUGUAAAUAAAAUUGACACAAAUCGAUAAAUGAAAAACAAUGUCUUACGGAUAAACAGUGUAAUAUGUAACCCCGCUAAAAUAUAAACAAACUUAAUGCAAUUCAUGAGCCAUACUUGGUUGAACACACACAUAUUUAACAUGUACACAGUUCACAUUACUUAUUUCUUCAUGGACACACAAUCAACUGAAAAAGUCCACUUGGUAAUUGAUUGUGGCAUUUAGUGAUAAUCUCCGUGGGUGUAAUGGCACUUACAGGGUGGGGGAUGGUAUCAAGAUGUCAGAUCUAACUCUGGAGCACCCACAGGUCAAAGUGGGUGCAGCUCAUCAAAAAACUGUGAAUAGAGGUACCCAUUUGACAACCCUGGUAAUGUACUUAAUCUGGCCGUCCAUUUAUCAAAGUCUAUCAUCAUGUUUGGGUUACAUUCACUCUCACCUGCAAACAAUGGUUGGCAGAGGUUGCUAUGCAAGGUGCCAAGCUGCACAUCAGAAUCUGACACAAUUAAAUAUUUCUCACACACUCUUUCAUUUCACUGGCACUGCCUUAAGGUAUAAUUUGGGGUUUGGUAUCUUGUUCAAGGACAAUUUGCUGUCAAAGUUGUCAACAUGUGCACUGUUGUCUGUAUUUCCAAUAAUCAAUCAAUGGUUCAUAACAUUGAGGAAACUUGGCUCAAAGUGAACAUACCCCAUUGUUGCUACCCCUGUGCUUCCACACUGUUUAAUCUGUUACCACACCCCUCUCUGCAUCUGUUCAACACUCUGUCAAACUCCAGUGUGCCAAUACUGCAAAAUGCAACAGCAAUCCACUGUUCAAAUUUACAGACUCUGCACACAGUGUAGACCUAAUGUACAAUCAAUUCUGUCCACUCAGUUCGGUGUCAUGGCUGUGAGUUUUACAUCUUUUUAAACAUUACCAUUGAAAUCACUGUGAGUCUUUACUUUAGUUCAGUACAAGAUAAUCACACUGCAUACAACUGGCGUAACAUUUCAUGAUGAUGAACAGAUUUGUCAGGACACAAAAUCAUUUGUGUUUGUAAAUACUGGCCUUCACUUGUAUCCUGGUCGGAAAUGUUAUCAUUGUGUCACCUUGUUAUUGCCAAUUUAUUCUUCAUUCCUAAUGUAUACCUACCCUUCCCCCCAAAAAAGUAUACCUCAAGUACGUUUUAUGAAGUAUAAUGAAGUUCAUAAAGCACAGGGUGGGGAUAGGAAUCAAACCCGUAACCGAGAACCACCAUCCCCAACUUGGGGUGUGCCUCAAUGCACUCGGCUACCUGUGUGCUAGCUCUGAAGCAUAAUUACAAAUACCUUUUGGUAUGCUAUUAUUUUGAUAGCAGUACAUAUUUGUAAACUUGGCUUGUACUGCUUACCUUUUUAAGAGUAUACUCUUAAAAAGAUAUAUGGAAGUAUUCACUAAACAAGUAUACUUAAACCCAAGUCAAAAAUACAUACUUAAGUAUAACUUGAUCAAAAGUUUAUGUAUGAGUAUGGGUUAAAUAUAUUUAGACUUUACCUGCAUGAAGCUGGCCCCCCACCCCAUGCAAAAUUUUUCAUUUGUGCUGCUUUGGGGAUUAAUAAAGUUCUCCUUAUCUUAUCAUAACUUAGGUUUUAAAGUUAUUACACACUUAUGUUUUUGGCGAUGACGUCACCCAGCCCCCCAUUUGCUCCAAAUGGACCCAAAAUGGUGCUGUUCAUUUGUGCUUUGUUUGUGCCACUGUUCCUGAGAAGUAUGCACCUCACAGAAAUGCGCACUGCUUAUAAAAGAGUGGUCCAGGGAAAUGUACAGUUUAAAACCCAUACAGUUCUUAUUUGUGGGGCUAAAUAACGAUCAGUAAUUAUCCAAAAGUUAGGUAUAUAUCUUUUGUGUCAUUUAUGUUGAAUAGAUUUUGAGAUCAGACGUUUUAUCAGCCCAAAUGUUUCACUGGUGUGACUUUAUUUCAGUGAUGAAAACACAAACCCCAUAAUGAUGAAUUAUUAUUAUUUUUAUGAUAAAAUAAAAUGUGUUUCUCAGGUGUUAUGUUGAUCGAGCCCACAGUAUUUAGCAUAUAUCAUCACCGAUAGGUAAACAAGCAACUAGAAUCAAAGAGUUUCUUUAAGUUAUAGUGUAGUCAGCAGACGCUUAAUACUAACAUUAUAUCAGCUGUUUUUCUGUUUGCCAAAAUAUACAUCCAUAAUUAGCUAUUGAGACAACAACAAGAGAUAUUUUUGGAAAUAUUACACCAGGAAAGUCCAAACAUUCUUUGGGAAAGUCCCAAAGAAUCAAGCUUUAUGGGUGGAUGCAUUUCUCUGCAAUACUGAUAAUGUCUGUAAGUAUUUGUUAUUAGAUUACUCAUCCAAAUAAGUGUAAGUGAAGCUGCACACUUUUUUGUUUUGUUUUAACAAUAACAUAUUGUAAUAAAAAAUAAUAGCUACGAUAUGCCUUGAAUAUAUUCAGUCCACAAAUAUUGGUGUUAAAGUCCUCGUAUGCUUUACAUGCUCUCCCGUAUGAGGCUCUCUGAACAUCUGUGCAUGAAAUACAGCACUGUUUUAUCCGAGGCUGCCCUGAACGCACCACUCCGAGACGGUGCAAGACUAUCAACAUAAAUAUUAUAUCUUGUGUUUGUUUCUCUUUCAUUGAAGUGUUCAUUUUGCAAGAAACACUGCUUAAAUAUAUGUUACAGCUUAAACUGACCUGAAUCAUCCCAAAUUGUAAAGUAAAAGUAUCCAUCCAGCGUCUGUGAGUCUCAGCAGAAACACAGGACAAUCUUUGGUUGUCUGGAAACCUGGAAACUUUGGACAAAUAUAGUGAUCCGAUUCAUGAAUGAACGUGGAUCAUGCAAACUAUGGGAGAUUCCCCGGAGAAAUGACAAUACGGGAGGUGGGCGGGAGAGUCCCAGGAAAAAUGGGAGUGUUGGCAGGUAUGAGUCUUGUUUUCACUAUUAUACGGCGUCUCAUCAGUUUUGCUCAGAGCUCCACUUCAGUGUGACACACAACAAAUCAGUAGCCAGUAACGUUAGCUACCAUCAUUAGAAUUUUAUAGCUACACUUUGUGACACAUUGUGCAUAUUUUAUUGCAUGAUGACUAUCUGGACAACAACUACUCGCCCUGUGGCAUGUACCCUUCCAAAAUUAAGUCGCCAGGGGAGUAUUUUAGUCGCAUUUGGUGAAAGGCGACCGGCCAGCUAACAGCCCUGAGUUUUAGUAACUUUAAAACCAAAGCAGCACAACAAAAAUUUUAUGGCACAAACCAGCUCAAACGAAGCACAAACGAUUGGCACCAUUUUGGGUCCAUUUGGAGCAAAUGGGGGGCUGGGUGACAUCAUCGCCAAAAACUUAAGUGUGUUAUAACUUUAAAACCAAAGCAGCACAAAUGAAAAUUUUAACGGCACAAACAGGCACAAACGAAGCACUAACAAAAGGCACCAUUUCGGGUCCAUUCGGAACAAAUGGGGGGCUGGGCGACCUCUGGAUGACCUAUAAAACAACAUUUAAUUACUAAAAAAACCAUAGCAGCACAAACAGAAAUUUUAACAGCACAAACCAGCAUAAACGAAGCACAAACGAAGCAGACUAUUUUCACGAAUUUUUGCAUAGGGUGGGGGUCCAGCUCCAUGCAGGUUUAGACUUUUAGUAUAAUUCUUAGUACAAGUCAAGUACACUUAAAAUUAACUUUAAGUAUAUUUCUGAAAAGUGUAGAAAAGUAAACUGAAAGCAUACGUAAUUUAAAAAUAGUAUAUUUGAAUUACACUUAAACAUACUUCUUUUCGGUAAGGGUAUGGUAGAUGCAAUAGUCUUUACAAACGUGGGACACUCUACUCUUUAUCAAACCAAAGUAGUUUAACAGUGUCAAUUUCACAUCAAAUCCAUCACUUGAAUAUUUUACCCCCUCACAGUUCAGAAGCAGGAGGAAUUUUGGUUAUAGAAGUCUUAUAUAAAAGAAAGGCACUGUGACAAGUACAAAUCGAUUUUAUAAAGUACUAAACCUGAAUACCAUGUAGUCAGGUUGCAGUAAUGGCUGCUCUUGAGACAACCAUUACUGACAUAACUUAGUGGAGGCACCAACAGUCUACAAGCAAGUCAAGGUGAAAUCCAAAGGUGGAAGCACUUAAUGAUUGAAAAGCAGAUUCAAAGUUGCAUUUUGGACCAUUUACACCAGAGUCACUGUACAGACUGACGUCAUGCAGAAAAGCAUACAGAAAUGAUAAAGAACAAAUAGUCAAAAACAAAAUCAUAUAAUCCCAGUCUAAGUCAUUAUAGACUGCAAAUGUAACCAUAUAUUUCUCAGAAAUAAUGAACUAUUAAUAUAAAAGGUGAAGGUAUGAGAAGAGUGAACUGAGUGUCUGACAAGCAUGCCUGUCCAGAGGCGUUUUAUGGAUUUAAGGUGAAAAUGAAUAUUCUGCUGUACUGUCUCUGUAGAUCAGAGGGGAGAGCACAGCAGCAUUGCAUUGUGAGGGAUUCUAAACUAAAUCAACCAAUUGAGUUAAAGAAUCCAGAUAGUAAGUGUUAUGUGAGUGAAACCUUUCAUAUUUUAACACUAGACUUUUCUUAAACUAAAGUGGAACUAUUUUGGGCCAUUCCAGGAAAAGCCAUCAAGUUUCAGGCUUAAAGAAUGACGUUUAUGGUAUUUCUACUGCUGUUAAAAGUCAAAACGGGUCAAAUUUGACCUGAACAGUAUGUGAGGGUUACACUUGCUGUGGAUUAACUAACCCAAUCAUAAUGUUUUGUAAUAAUUGAUAAAUCCUGAUUUGGGUGUUUUGGUGCAUUUGUGAAGCAAUCAUUGACAAAACUAUAUAAAAUCAAACUUGUUUAGACUCAAGUAGGCGCAGUCUACCAGUGUUGACCUUCACUGACUUUAGGAAAUUGGGAUAUGUUGAUAUUGAAGGCAAAUAACGGCCUAUUUUUCGCUGUUUUGAUUUUUGAAAUUAAAAAUAGAAUAUGAGAGAACGGAAUUAUCGUGGGAUUUUUGUUCUAUUCGUGUUUGGUUUGUUUCAUUUUCGAUGUGUUGUGACCCGGGAGUUGUUGACUUUUUUUUCCUACCUCGUAUAUUGAACUGACCACAGCCCUCUCCAGUUCUGCAUCAGUAACAUGACGUUUCCGCCUGAGGUUGUGUUGGAUGCAGAAACGUCUGACACUCAUUGCAGAGCAUCUCCGGACACCCAUCUUCUGCAACGUCUCCGAAAUGUCUGUGUGGGUCUUACCAGCUUCGAACAACUGCUUAAUAAAAUCGGCGUAUUGUUCUAGUGCAGCCAUAGUGGUCUAUUUAUAUCGCCUACUCUAUCUCUGUGAAUAGGUUUCAAGAUUCGCACGGUUAAAGACUGGCCUCCCCUCAGAAAAAAGUGAUAAAAAAAGCAUGCCGUAAACAGGCAUGCUCCUUACAGCUAUACCAACAAGCUAGCCAAAAUAACAGAACCCUUGACAGCAAUGCUAAGUGUUAGGUGCUUUAAAUUGCAUUGGGUGUUUCUUGCAAAAAUAGACCCCACCGUCAGAGCUCUGCAAGAAAAGCAAGAAGGUGUACAUUCAUUUUGACAUACACAGCAAAAUCCCCACACACUUUGAAUUAGCCCCAAUUACCUUGAGGAAUGUGAUAUGAGACUCUGUCCUCAUUAGAAAGAUGUAUUCAUGGUCAAACCACCUGACACUGCCAGUUAGACACAUUUAGUUCCUCAUGUAUUGUUUCUCAGUCUGGAUUAAGACUUUCACCAAAUGGCACUUCGAUAAUUAGCACCGAGCUGGGACUGUAGAGCUGCAAAAAUGAGCUCCUAAUGUCUUCCACAGCUCAUUCUGUGACUCAUUCUUUUUUUCUGAGGAAGUCACGCUGGGCUCUAAAAGCUCUCAAAAUCCAUCUACAGCUGAUUCCUAUCUGAGAAGGAGAGUGUGUGUGUUUGUACGCUUACAUAUGACACAGAGUAAAAGACAGAUAAAUAGAAACAGACGGACAAAUAGAGCAGUUUUAUAUCUCCUCCCAGCUGGUAAUCAGACAUCAAAAACACAGCAAGAGGGUUGUGUUCCACUAAGUGGCGAUUGAUCGCUGCGCGAGUGUGUGUAUGUGUGUAAAGGGAAAACAUGGGUGAUAGUUUGACUGAUCCUGUUCGACAGACACACACACGCACCUGCCUCACUUUUGUCUCAUCUUCAACGUUAUCUUUCUUCUCCUUCAUCACCCCCCCUUGCUCUCUCUACUUCAAUCCCGCGCUCUACAGAGUGGGUGUGCUCUCAGCUGUCCUCCUCCAAUCUCCCCCCUCAGUGUGUGUCCACUGCUACCAUGGACACAGCACACACAUACACUCACAUACCCCCCCCCCCCCCACACACACACACACACACUCUCUCUCUCUCUCUCUCUCUCUUAUGACUUUCUUCCUCCUCUGUCCCCAGUCUUACCCCUUCCUCCUCCCCCACUUCAUCUGCUCCCACUUCUCCUCAUUAAGCCUUCACCAUCCCCUCUUUGCCUCCUGCUUGGUGCUCACUUAUCAAAGCUACAUUCAAAGCACAGGAGGGGAUCAGGGGAGAGACAGGUCAGAUGAGGCAGAUAAAGUGUUGCGUGUGUGUGUGUGUGUGUGUGUGUGUGUGUGUGUGUGUGUGUGUGUGUGUGUGAGCAAAAACAAGUAUAUAUCUUUAUCCAUGCCUGUCUAUGUACGUGUGUAUGUACGAGUGUAUGUGUGUCUGUUUUUGGAUCUGUGAUUACUUUCCUUUCUUGCCUCGAGCGUUGUGAAGGGGACUCAAAGUCCACGGCAGCUUCACCCUCUGUCUUUGCCAAAACAAAGCAAUUACAGAGAGACAGACAUGAGGGCACCACCUCUCAUGGUCCUCACAAAUAGAGGGUGGCCAUGACAAUGCCUUUGAUCUCGACCGUCCAUUAUCUACUUCCAAACAAAAGUCCAAUAAAAUAUUCAGGCUGCCUCUAAUAUUGCACGCUGUAGUACAACUGUCAAAAACACACAAGGACCUAUCUUAAACUAGGCCCAUUAGGGGGGGCAGGACUUGACACACUCAUUAAUUACACUUUCAGCGGCAACUUGGGUAGUUGCAAACAAACGGUGUGUUGGUCUUAACUAUUGUGUGGUCAAGCCUACAGGUGGUGUAUUGCUAGAAGUUGCAGGAAAUAACUGCACCACAGAGCAACCAAGACCUGUGGUCUGAAGCACUAGCUUUGGAUUUCCUGCUCAUUUAGGUUUUGUUCUGUGACUAUGAUUGUAGAGUUUGGGUUAACUCGUGUUUAGUGUUUGUGAGAUCAAAGAUGCUAUGCUACAAGCAGCAACUACAGACUACGCAGGCUGGAUCUUUACUCGCGUUUCUUGGCUUGCCUGUUUUGUUGGGAACCCUUCUACAUCAUCAGCAGGUAUCUCAGGGUCACAGGUGUUUCGCCCCUUAACCUGUACACCUCACCUAAGUGGGGCUGCGGAGGCUGGUUAGCCUUUGCCUGCAGAAGAGUUCCAACUUUGGGCCCUUGUCAUCCCCAUGUGCCAUCGUGGCUAUUUCCCUGGUGGCUUUCUUCAGCUGUUUAGGCUCCAAACCAAUUCUCUGGAGGAAGCAGUGCACCAAUUUUGCAGGGAACCUACAACAACCGACCUCUAAGGGAAAAAUAUUUGUGUGCCACCGUUUUAAAGCUGCUUCGUCAAUCAGGUCCUGGUACUUGGCUUUUUUCAGAUGGUGGGACGUGGCUAGCAUCUCCUUCCAGGGCACGGUAAGUUCUGCCACUAUGAUGUUUUUUUUUUUUGUUUUUGUUUUUGUUUUAUUGACACAUAUUAACAGUACAAACACAAACCAAAGGACAAAAGGUAGUCACAAAACAGUAUUAUAGGCAUCAAUUCAAACGAAAAACUAAAAAGAAAAGAAAAUGCUCGAGGUUAUAAAUCAUUAAUGUAUUCAUCACAUAUUCUUUUAGUUUUGACAGCUUUAGUGUUUUUACAAUGUUUUAUAGUUUCUAGAUAAGAAGAUAGUACAGCUUCAAGAACAAUAACAUUUGGACAAUGGUUUGCAAAUUUAGCGCAAUGAAUAUGAUAUUUGGCAAGAAUUAAAAGAAGAUUCACAAUAUAUAAUUUGUCUACAUUACUAACAUCCUUUUUUGAAAGUCCAAAUAACACAUGUUGAACAUUUAAUUUGAUUGAAGAGUCAAUUUUGGUAUUUAUAAAAUUAUUGAGAUCAAUCCAAAAGACAUGGCUAUUAGUGCACUCCCAAAAUAAGUGAGAUAUUGUUUCGUCUGAGUUUCCGCAAAAUGAGCAGUGUGCCUCUAUAUCAAUCUUAUAUUUGAUUAAAUUAGUCUUGACAGGAUAACAUCUAUGCAUUACUUUAAAUGAAACCUCUCGUACUUUAUUUGAAAUAAGAAAUUUCCUUGGUAGGAUCCAAGUGUUCUUCCAAUCUAUAUCACUAUGAUGGUUUUAGUGCUCCUGGAUAGGAGGACCAAAUCUCAUCGGAGGUAGGUUGCCACUUCAUCUUGAUGGAACAUAAGUUUCCUCUUCAGGUCCACGUUCAACUCCCAGGGCUCUAUUUUGGUGCCUCGCCGGAGACGUGCCGCAAGCGCAGCGUCAAUCAGAUCCGCCGCGCUGACAAGGCGUUCCCAAGCACAUUUUGGUAUUUUGGUGAGCCGCGCAGCCCGGCGUAAGUAUCCCCCCUCCCUAACUCAGCUCCUCCCGGCAGCAUAAGUCGUUGACGGGAGGAGAGAGGGCGUGGAGUGUGUUUAACACAGCCGAGACCUGUUUUCACCAAUCACAUAAGCUCCUCUCCUUGCCUUUAAAUCCGCCACCGGCGAGGCGUAUUACUAUUUUCAUGAAGUAGUCAAAGAGAUCAAGAGAUGUCUGAAGACAGUUAUGCCACACGAUGGCGACAGAGGGCAGCUGCUCAACAAGUGUCCUCCACACUCUCUCAUCUGAGCACAGAUGGAUUUGGUGUGCGUAAUGUUGGACCCACUGGUAAGACAAACACCCUUUUCCACAAAUAAAGACACUCACAUAAAGUUGCAUAUAUUCAAACCUCACGUGACAAAGGUGGGUUUAGCGCACAGAUCACAACAUAAACUCCAAAAAUGGCAUUAAAAUCGGAACCAUCUGUGCGUAAAUGACGCAUCGCGCUCCGUGGCCUGGCUCUUUCUUUCAUAGAUGUUGGCAUAUAAAAUAAAUUUGGCCCACAAAACUGAAUAUUAUAAUAUCCGUAUGUCGGCUUAAAGUAGAUAACGCAUCUGAGCACUGAAACAAAUCAUCUGUUCAGCCGCAGCAGCAGCAGGAAGACGGACAGAGGACACGGAGACGUGUCCAGGUCGAGCUGUGCGAGAAAUAAGAGGAAGAGGAAGAAAGAAAAGGAGGGAGACACAUUACAUAUCUUGUUAACUUCAUCAUGUGUGUUUAUUUACUAGAUAUUUAAUUUAAUUUGAUGCAGUUUCAGCUGUGUUGAUUCGGUCAGGUUGUGUGCCCAAACGCGUGCCAAACGCGUGCCAAACGCGCUCAUCAGAUCAGAUAUAGAUCAGAAUAUAUCGAUAUAGAUCUAAAUGUAUGUGCUGACUCAGAUUAAUAGUUGUUGAUGAUUAUUUAUUGCACUGAAAUGUGCCUGACACUGUGGAAACCUGCCGGUGAGGCAUCGGUGACGUAUGUCCAUACGCCGCCGGUCUACCAAAAUACUACUAGAUCAGCUGCGUUCCGCCUUGCGCUGAAAGCUGACCAGGUUUGAAUCGGCGAGCUUUCAGCGCACGUUACACGCCAGUGGCGAGCACGAAAAUGUCACUGCGCCAGCUGAUUCUGUCAACACCUCCCCCUGCCACGCCACCACGCCCAGCUUGGCGGAUCUCGGCUCGCCUCCGUGCGACUCAGUCCACGAAAAUACCAAACUCGCCUUACGCCGGGCUCCGCUAGAGUUUGUGUUAGUUUGUGUUGAUUUUGGUACCCACUAAAUAAAACACUGUCAGUCUUAUUGUUUUUCUGCUCUUGCUGUUGCUGUUGAAAGUUGCUGCCACAUUUCACAUUUCAGGAGGUGUUAAAAGGUAAUUUUAGCAGCUUGGUGUCAUUGGAAGAUACAAGUAAACAUGUAGAAUAGCAGUGCAAAGGACACAACACUCUAACAGCAGGGCACACGUAAGCUACAGACUAAUCAACAUUUUUCGUGACAGUCAUUGGAUACAUUCAGCAGAAUAUCCACCUGUGUGUCAAGCACUUGCAAACAUCAAGUGUAUAAGCAUCACCAUAUAGAAAUUGAUCCAGCAAUAUGACCUUUUUGCUUCAAACCAUUGUUUGAUGUGGAUUUAAAACUGUCUACCCACCAAGGACUACUUCAUAUUCUUUGUUCUACUUUGAAUAUAAAUGCUCUGCUUUGAGGAGUUUGUUCUCAUUUUCUGAUCACCCACCAGACAUGUUGCUGAAAUUGUCUGUUCUCAGCACAAACUUUUAAAGAAAGAUCGAAUAACUUGCUUAGUCCUGCCUUUUAAAAAUGUGUCCUAUCAGCCUCUAUUCUACCACCACUCUCCUCUCACUUCAGACAGCGAUGGUCAAAUUCAGAGACUCUACACCUGUUAUGAUAAAGGGUAAAAAGCCCUUCCCCCUUUGAAUACUGGGUUCGUAAAAUGUCUGGAAAGCGUCUUGGUUGCAUUUGCACUAAGCUUUACUAUAGCAGCAUCUACAGCUCCCUUGCACUCACCAACUUUGUUUCACAUUGAUGUCAGCUCAAGGCAAUGGAGUUUAGAUAAAAGCUUUCGGGUGAGGGUCACACUGUUGUAAAGGCAAACAAGGGUGUGCUUCAUUCACCUAAAAAAGCAAAAGGAGCACGACAAGGCAGGGAGCACAGUAUUUAAUCUUGAAAUUCAACUAUUUGCUCAGGCUAAGUUUUGGCUACAGCUAGUAGUCUGUAAAUUAGAAGAGACCAAUAUGGAAAUUUGAGGUUGUAUGGAGUGACAAAAUAUGUGAAGCAUAAUGUGAUAAUUGUAAUUUAUCAGGCUUCUGAAUGUUAUGUUCCCCAGAAAGAAUCAAACUUUAAUUUUGUGAGAGGAGUAGAAGUUUGUGAAACUGCUAUUACAGAAAUGAAGGACAUUAGCCUUUCAUUUAUGUCCAGCAACUGUGUUACAGAGUAGACAUGUCCUCAGAGAAAAUGUGGAAGGUUAGUGUAGACUGCAGACUGAUGACCAGUCCAUUACUCAAGCCUCCUCCACCAACACUUUAACUUUCAAACAAGGAGACAUGAGACAUUCAGGCCCAAAGAAAAUGCUAUGCUUCAUUACUGCCUUUGUCUUGUGGGCUGAGAAUCUAACAUUUAUUCAAAUUGGGAUGUGGCAUGUGAGACGUAACCACUGUUAUCAAACCGCUGUGCAGUGGCAGGAGAAAACCUGAAGUAUCUUUCAAAUUUAAAGGCAUGGUUGACGAUUGGAGAAGCAGUUAAAAAAACUGAGCCGUUGAGGCAGAUUUAUAAAAAAGCUUCCCACCCCCCACACACAAACCUCUCCCCUCUGUGCUCCACGAGAACUCCCCCCGAACCUGUAUUGCCCUCCCCACGACACACCCCCUCUGGCGGAGCAAGAAGAUCUGGCAAAGGCCAGCAGAAGAUCCUACGCUAGCUUCAAAUAGGAUUCACCAUGUCGGAUUGCUAGUGACUGUAAACGCCAGCUCUGCUAGCGAGCACCGUCUGCAGCUGCCUGGACAGAUACUGUGUUGACAUUGCAGAGACUAAUAAGAGUUAUUAAUGUAACUUGUACCACGGUAAAAGGCAAAAAUGACCUGUUCAACAAAAACUCUGCUGUCUCGGCGUCUGUUUUCAGGCUCAAGUCCUGGCAGAGCUUUCUCCGCCGCCCGAAGGAUAACCCGAUGUUUAUUCGAGUUUGAUUCCUCGCUUGGUCACAUUUCCUCUUCGUCUCUGCCCUUUCUUCUGUCGGCUUGCGUUUUCUUCCCACUUUUGGCAGUGGGGCAAGCAGAAGUGCUUUUAUUCAUCCUUCUCCAUCACAGCUCCUAUAGCUAAGCUGCUACGCCACUUUUAGCCAGUCAGAACUCCAAGGAGGGCCGCACCUGCUAGGGUGAACGGAUUUUUUCGGUCUUUUUUCUCUUUACUUUGUGGAGAUCGCACUAUAGGACCAUGAUCGCCAUAUAAACAAAGUUCAUAAUAAUUACCAAUUUCUCCAAUGCCUUCAACCAUGCCUUUAAGACUUACAAGGCAUUCAUAAUACUCUGUAAAUUAUAUUAUUUUUCAACUUAAAACAGCUGCUUUAACAUUUAACGUAGCAAACUUGCCCUUCUACAUAAAUAUUCAUCAAGCACAUUUCUUGAAUUUAGUCAAUCACCUUUUCUAUGUUUAAAAUACUUCCCAAUCGGUAUUUGACAAAGGCCUACCUUGAAACAAACCCAGAAGUCAACAUAUUGGCCUAAAUCAUCCUGAGUGUGAGGUUUUUUGGUUCCCCUACAUUAGUAGGUACCACGAGUAGAGACUCCUCAUCAGUGUUUGUGGAGCUACAGGUUUAAUAUUCUCACUUCUGCAGUUUGGUGUCCUACAGAAAUCCCAACUAUGAAAUAUUGAGCUGUUUACAAAGUCUCAGCAUCUCUCAUUCCUCCUUCCUUCAUGUUUGCCUCCUCCUCGCUCCCUGUUCUCCUUUCCCUCCACGCCCUCUCCUGUCAAUCAUCUGCCAAAAAUUAUGCAAAUUUCUCUCUUUAAAAACAUGCUGCAUUCACAAUUUAUGCCCCACCCCCCUCGCCUUUCCCACUACACGUCCCCUUGAUCCCUCUUCUACUGCCUAAAAAUGGAUGACCUUAACUUCAUUUGGAGAUGCAAUAUUUCAUUUCACACCAUUUCACAUUCACUCCCUCUGUCUUUCUGUCUUCUUUCAGCAUCAUUAAAGGUUGACCUGACAGGGGCGGGAAGGUACAGAGUUGAAGGGUAUGUGAGUAUGAAUAUGCGUCCACCUUUUUGCGUCCUUGCUUACGUGUGUAUAUUUAUGCCAGUAUGUGUCAGAGAACUGGCAGCAUGUGUGUGUUCAAACAUGCAUGUCUCUGUGUCAGAAGGCUUUCAGAGGACAAGAUACACGUAAAAUAAUGCAGGAGGAGGCUGUGAUAUCUGUAUAAUGGGCUGAUAUUAACUUUGCUUUUCAAUUCUUUAACCUUGAACUGAACUGAGCUGUAGCUCCCGUGUGUCGGACCUGAACAUAAGUUAUUUUCAGAUAGUGAGAGUGUGGUGCGCCUAGUUAAUUUAAGGGAGAACAGUUUCAAUACUCAAAAUCUACUCACAAGUGAGUCACAUGUGGUUUGACUUUAUGAACGUUUCAUUGAUCAGAGAGCAGAGAAAGAGGCCUAAAUGUCCCUCAUCUGUAUCUUUGAAAACAAAACUUCUUCAGCACCUAGUCAUAUUUGGAAAGAUUCUUUCAAUUCAGAUUUAAUGUGAUGGUUUAGUUUAUAGUAUAAAGGUUAUUACACACCGGUGAAUUAGCAAAGCGACCAGAAAUAUUUGGCUUAUGCCUUUUCCUAUACACACCUGGUGCAACAUGAAGAAAAUUUGCAUAUUUGCAUAAAAAUAUGGUCUGUGGUGCCACAGGGGAACAGAGGGGGAGAUAGAAGAAGGAGAAACAAUGGUGACCACAUCCUCAAGUAAUGAUGACCUGGUCAUGUUGUAAGCCUAUUAAAUAACAAAAAGAAAAAGAAGAAUCAAAAUGAUGGGGGAGUUCCACACGACGAUCCAGGAGCUCAGAUUGUACCCUGAGAAAUCCCGACAAUACUUAAGAAUGACCCUAGGACAAUUUCAAGAACUUCCCCAGCAGCUGACUCCAUCUUUGCAGAAGGAGAGGACAAAUUACAGAGAGCCAACAGAUCCAGAGCAACAUGUCUGAUAGUGCAGCAGAUAAUUGCAUAAUUCAAGAGAAUUGUUCAAAUGAUGAUGCAAGCAUGAAAUUUGGCACAAAUACUCUCUGAGAACACUUUGUUUCAGCACCAGGCGCUGUUUGAUGUCUGCAGCCCUUCUCAUUAAGUUGUUCUGUGGUGUAAUCAUUCAACUCUUAAAUUCAUGAUCAAAAAUGAUUUCUGAGACCACAUUUCAUGUUUGGUGAGCCUGAUUUAUCCUGUAGGCUGAUAGCUGUUGAUUCUGGCCAUAGAUCCUCUUAGACUAUUUCGAGACAAAUCUUGCCUGGGCUUCCUUUGUUCAGGUAUUUUGCUCAAUUCUGCAUCAGAUCUUAUACUAAAUGGUGAUCCAUGGAGUACCUCAGGGCUCUGUUUAUGGCUCUCUGUUUUUCUAUUUCUUUGAUUAUUAUUUCAAAAUAUCUUGGUUUUGCUCAUGACUUGACUUUGUUAUAUUUUACUACAAUCAAAAAAGUUAACUAUUCUGUUACAACAAUCAUCUAAAAGGGACAACAACUUAUACAACAGCAUCACACUUAGUUAUCCCAUUCGUCCGUUGGCAGAUGGAGGGGUCGUGUGUAGGCAAAACACAAGAUAAUAUAAUUGGUUGGGUUCAUGCUCUGUAAAUCCAAAAGCACAGACAGUUUUUUCCUACAAAAGUUUAAGACAAGUCAAUAUAUCUUCUUCACUUUUAACUUUGCUUGAACUUGUGGAAUAUUUUUUUUGUUUUGGAGACUUCAUUUCAGGUUGAAUAACAAAAAAUGUUUUUCUCAAAUCAUCAUAGGUUAUGCUACAAGCAGAUAGUUCAGGUUUGUUUCCAAUCUUUGGCUUUUGUAUGUCAUUUCCUAAGCUCUUUUGUAGUUCCUGCUAUAUCCUUAUCCUACCUAAUGAAGACACGAAGGCCUGUAAAUAAAAUUCAAAUAAUAUAAAAAAGUUAUCUAGGUGAUAAAGGUGAGAGUUACAAAGUUUUACCUCUUAAUGAUCAUACAUUUUUACUGUCCUGUUUUUUUUUUUUCUCUGCUGCAGUAUCUUCUCUGUCCAUUUCCUUGCCCUCAGGAAAAGAGUAAUGAGUAAUUAUCAGGAUAAGCAAACCCAAGGAAGAUAUUUUCUUUCAUUUUCUGUCAGUCUGUCCUGCCUUGCCUCCUCACCAAAACAGCGCUUGUGUCAAAGCAAAAAACAAAAAUGGUAAUGCCAAGUAAACGAAAGGGGAAGAAAAAGUAAAAAGACGUGUGAUGAAGAGGUGUGAUGGAAAUCAAAUAGAAACUACAGAUCAUUUUGGAAGAAUUUGAGGAGACAUAGCAACGAAGAUGAAUGAAUGAACAAAUCAUGGAGAUGAUGGAAAACAGAAAGAAGGAUUGAAUCAGUGGCAAGGUAUAGUAUGAUCAUUUUGGAAAGAGGAAGUGAGAGCAGGAGGAAAGACAGGGGGCUGGAUUAAAAAGAAACAGAACGAUGGCGGAGGAGAGAGAAAUGUGUGAUUUGGCAGCAGGAAAAACAUUGAAGCCAGCUUCACCCACUGAGUUCACUCUUCUUCUUCCUCUCACUGUCUUCUGUCAACUUCUCACCUCUUCAUGUUAAUUAACAGUAGAGAAUUAAAUAAAAAAAACUUACGGAAAGAAACAACAUGUCUAUCUAUCUAUCUGUCUGUCUGUCUGUCUGUCUGUCUGUCUGUGAGUAGUUGCCCUGCAUGACACUUGCCACACUGAAAAUUACCCACUAAAUUCAAAAUUUAGCCACUUUUGAUAGUGUGACAGUCAACACAUAUGUAAAUCUUUUACAAAAUCCAUAUUUUACAUUCAGCAGCAAUACUUUUCUUGCAUAAAUAAUCUUUAUAAUGUGUGCUUAUUCUCAGGGAUCUGUAAAUAUGCAACAUGCAGGAGCGGAAUGAACCUCUGUAAAUAAACCGAAUGUAAAGCUUGGUGUUAUGUUGUGUUAGACCAUAACUUAAAUUUACGCCCAAAUAACCCUUUAAAAUAGUAACAGAGAUUACAUACUCAGUAUUUCAAGGGCAAGUAUGUGUAUUUUUCAACGACAGGUGUGCGUGGCAGAAAAGCUGAAAGGCUCCACACAGCAGGUAGAAGACAAUGCAACUAUGGCUGUCUACAGGACAUCUGCACCUACCUGCAGAGUUUUACAGAGGUGUAGGAGUGUUAAUUAGAUCUUCAGGGCAUAAAGAGCUGUUAAGAAAUUAGAAUUAUACAUCUUUAUCUCUGUGUUUCUCUGAUCUGUCUUUCUAACAUUCGCUCUGUUAUCUCACAGUGGCUCGACCAGCCUUGUUUUCUGGAUCAUUGUUGCCUUGGAUUUGACAUCUUUUUGUAUGUCUGUGUUUUCUGUCUUGUAGCAUUGCAGCAUCAAUAUCAUAUGUAAUAUUGAUGACAAGCCUUUUGGUGUUGAAAGUUUCUCAUGUGGUCUCCCAGUACCUAUACUUUUGACAAGCCUUGUUUCUGAGGCCCAAGAUGUGUGAAAUGAGAUAAAACUGUGGUUUCUGGAGGAUUGAUUCCAUGUCUUGAGGGAUUUUUUACUGGUAUCCUUGCCAAAUAAGAGAUGAAGAUGUUAGCAUUAGGAAUAUCCAAACACUAAAUAAAUAAAUAAUGCAUCAGAUUUUUAUGGUGCUUUUUGUCAGUGACCUCAAAGUGCUUUACAUUGGAUACAUCAGUCAUUCGCUCACUCAGUCACACCCUGGUGGUGAUAAACUACCUUGGUAGUCACAGCUGCCCUGGGCCAGACUGACAGAAAGGUGGCUGCCAGUUUGCGUCUACAGCCUCUCUGACCACCACCCCACAACACUCACAAUCAUACACCAGUGGAGGACACACACUGGGAGCAAGGUGGGUUAAGUAUCUUGCCCAAGGACACAACAGACAGACUAGGGAUAGGGGGGAAUUGAACUGCCAACCCUCCAGUUAUCGAACAACUGCUCUACCACCUAAGCUACUGCCACCUCAGCCAGUAAAUGUAUCCAUGGAGGUGAUUAGCUAGAAAAGACCUCAGUAAGUAGUUCUGAAUUGGGGACACCGUCUUUGGGUUUCAUAUAGCCUCCUCAGUAGGUGAUGUCACUAAAGCCGCAAAUGGCACCACAUUAAGCCAGGCAAAGCCCUGGGACCUAACAGCAUCUCAGCUCCUCAGACCUGUCACCAGUAACUUGCUCACUUUGCUCUCAGUCCUACCAGUGUGGCACAUCCUGCACCCUGGGAAAACCACAGCAGUAAUCCCAGUGCCAAAAAACCACAGCCCACAGAACCACCACCACAUUCUCAUCCUCACAUCCCAAAAACAUUUGCUGCUGAGUACAAUCCUGCCAGAUGUAGAACAAAAAUGGUUCCUUCACAGCUGACAGUGGCAGACAAACUGAUAUUCAUGGUGAUUCGCAGUACGACAUACUGUCUCGUGUCUGUCCCAUGAGGUUUUACAUCUACCCUUUAGAAGUCUGUCUGACAUGUGAUAUCUGAACAUACUUGUAGUGCAGAGCUGUUUUAUAUAUAUACGUGUGUGUGUGUGUGUGUGUGUGUGUGUGUGUGUGUGUGUGUGUGUGUGUGUGUGUGUGUGUGUGUGUGUGAGCGUGUGUGAGUAUGGAGUGUAUGUGUGUGUGUGCUUGUUUGUGUGUAUGAGCUUUCCAUCACUGCCCCUUGACACUGGGAUGUCAACAACUCACUGACAGCUGACCCACACUGCCUGCAUGACUAAUGAAUGCUUACUCAUACACACUUAAACACAAACACACUUCCUGAAACUUAACCAGAGUGCAGAAAUGUGCUGUAUCUUCUUUUCCUCCACAUUUAAGUGUGUGCCUACUGAGUGAAAGGUGUAGUGUCUGUGGACAGCUGCACUCUUCCGAUCUUCCACCUGUCUCCGUGGAAGGUUCAUACUGUGCAGCUGUGGACCACGUGUCCUCUGUUCGUCCUUGACACACUCCAGCGCACAUGCACACACACACCUGGCCGAUAGGAGACAAAGUGACAACCGGGGAAAAAAGAAAUCAUGUGAAAAGGGUAAAAGAGGAGCAGGUAACAUGAAAUCCAGCUUGUCCUUUUGCCUUGACACAGUAAGUGUGACACCACUCAUAUGGGACUGACAAAGCGUUGGCUGCAUUUAUAUGUGAUACCAUGAACAUUGAGAAAUCAGUGUGAACUUGACAUUUCCUGAUAGAGUCGAGUUUUUGAAUUCUGAAAGGCACACCCACCAGAAGUUUCAGGAGAAGCAGACUGAAUCACCUUCAUUGAUUAGUCUACAUUGACAGCCUUUGAUUGACAGCUCUAACAUUGGGCCAAAAUGAACAUAAACAAACCUGACAAAAAUAACGGUAGAGCCACAAACUGAUGCUCCAUCCUACAAAUACCCUGUAGUCCACACUUUUGGGUUUGAAUGCAAAAAAAGUCAAAAAUGGAUUAGCAAACAUGUCAGGAUACAAUCCAUAGCAACAAGUGAACUCUAAGAAGCCUCCAAAAGUAGUACAAGACACAGAGCCUUCAGUUUUCAGAGCCAUGUCCUUUGGAAUUACAUACCAGUCUGAGUCCAGCAGGCAAAAGUAGGCUUUAAACUAUAUGCUCUGAUAAAGCUUUUAGUUAGGGCUGACUCGGGCUUGGACCAGUUCUUAGUUAUUCUGUAGGCUUAGAUUGCUAAGAGAAAUGCCAUGCUAAGCUUCUGUUUGUCCUCUCUGUCCUCUAUUUGUCUGCAUGUCACUGACUUUACCCCCAAUUUCCACCGCGUCCAGAAUGGCUCCGCUGCAGAAUGGCGGAGCCAAUCACAACUGAGCGUUUCCAUUCAAGUUAAUGUGUUAAUGUGUUCAGCAGGCUCUGCAAUCAAUCCCCAGGGUUUAAUUUUUUUCAGAUGAUGCAGCAUGCAGCACAGAUUAGCCCGUGCUGGAAAGGCAGUUGGGCACAGACACAAAAUAAAAUAUCUGGCUUCUUUUCAAAUAAAAUACAAUGUGUUUCGGGCAGAUCGUAUUUCACACCAUGCAAACAUGGGCUGGGACCAUCAAGUCAAAGGUUUUUAGACUUAAUUUCACCCUGUUGACACCAUGAAUGAGGAGAUGCUGAUUCUAGAAGUGGACUUUCUUCCUCUAGAACAGGCAUGUCCAAACUAUUCCACAAAGGGCCGAUGUGGCUGCAGGUUUUUCUUCCAACCAAUCAAGAGCACGCAGUCUGACCAAUCAGCUGUCUACAGACUGAGAUCAGAUGAAAAUGAAUCAAGUCUGGUGUGCUGCUGCUUGGUUGGAAGAAAAACCUGCAGCCCCACCGGCCCUUUGUGGAAUAGUUCGGACAUGCUGCUGUCUGAAAUCCACCAUGAAGUUCACCUCACAAAUGCAUGUGGUAGGAAUUGGCGGACAGUGAAUAUUGCCACCGUUCCACAGUGGAGCCAUUCCAGGUGCAGUGGAAAUUGGGGGUUAGAUCUUUCUUUCCCAUUAAAGCUAACUAAAGAAAUCCCUAGAGGUUCUUGGACUCCCUUGUCUUGUGGGUACUCCUGGGUUGUUGCUGAAGAUGGCCUGCUGCUAAGGACCACCCUGAAUCCAACUGUAGCUGUGAAUACCUUUCUUACCUUGAUUGUAGGGAGUUAAUGCAGCAGUCUUGAUGUGCCAGACCUGUCAGCCAGCUCUUAUUCUUCUUCACUGGCUGACAGGUCUGGAGCCAGAGUCAUUGUCAAUGUUUUCCCAUCAGUAGCAGAUGAACUGAGCCAGACACAGUCCUAUGUUUAAGGUGACAACACGGGUGCACCACUUAGAAAUAUUUGUACACAGCAGAGAUAGCAGCUUCUGCCACUGGAGGGUCCAUUGAAUCUGCUGUAGAAUAAACCAGAUAAUCUAUUAUCAUUGAAACACAAUAAUACUGAUAAAGAUUAGUUCAUAUAUUGGGUCUGUUAACUUCAGGGCUGACUCAGUUUAAGGCUAAAAAUGUAUUUUAAGUGGUAAAGAUCACCAAUGAUUAUAAAGCUCUGAGAUUCAAUCAAGAGGGGGUGGUUCAGAGAGCGUGAGGGGGGUUGUCAAACACUUGGUCCUCCUGUAAGAUUUUCAAAUCUUAUCAAACCUAACAAAAGUCACAAAUGAUCCUUUUCUGACAUCAUCCUUCAAGAGAGACUGAAAUAGGCCAACACCAGAGCCUUGAAGUUGUUGUAGUUUUAGUUGUAAAUUUGCCUGUGCUUCUAGCUCUGAUUAUGUUUUCAGUCAUUUUUAUUGUCUUCAAAUUGCUGUGUUUGCUACUGUUAGAUCUGCAGUUGAGAUAUUACAUCUAAAACUGUUGUACAUUUUAAAAGGGUAAUUCAGUGAAACAAAUAAGACCAAGGGAAUAAACAGGAGUUAAAGUCAAACCAUUAAACAAUAGAAAAAUUACAGACCACUGUAAACCUUGCUGCAUUUUUUUCCAUGUUUGCCACUUCUUCCUUGGUGCAGCUGUAAUGAUUUCAGUCUGAAUCAUCUAACAGCAGAUCAUUAUCCGUUUUUCUUCUUACAUAUGUUUGUAGUUGGUCAUGUGUUGCUAACUCUGCCCUAUUUGUAUGUAUAUGCUUACAGCACUUGUUUGACGUUGAAAACCAGCUUAUUAAACACAGAAAAGAUGUUAAACUUGCUUCAUUACAAAACCCUUUGGUUUGUCAAUGUAUAUGUUUUAUGAGUAGAAAAACUCCCAGCAGCUUAACACAAAGAAGUGGCCACACGCACACACGCAAACACACACUAGUUGUCAGUCUUUCCUGUGAGGGCAGAGUCAAGUGUUGAGUUGUUUUUCUCUCCUCAUGAAUAUUAAUGAAUUGCUCUCUCCAUCAAAACACAACCGGUACUCAUUUACACAGAGAUCCACAUGCACCAGAAACACACACACACACACACACACACACACACACACACACACACACACACACACACACACACACACACACACACACACACACACAAGAAAUACCCAUACCUACAUCCAGAUAAAUCUUACGGAUAAAACCCUUAAACGUGUUAUUCAUACUCCUUAUUGACUUCCUGUUUUCCUCAUAGAGGGAAUGGGGAUGUGAGUCAAAAGACCCAUAAACAUGCUGAAAACAAAAGGUUGUGAUCGAAAUGACAGAAAACUACAAAGAAAAACAAAAACAUACGCACAUCUAGAGAAAAAAAGAGGAGAGAUUAAGUCUUUAGUGCAGGUGCGGGGAGUUGGGGAGUUGGGAGUGUGCGACACUGGUGUGCAAGGCUGAGGAGUGCUGUACCCAGAUUUGCAGUCAAUUAAGUUGGAUUUAGUGGGUCCAUGAUGAGAUCCUUACUGACUGUGUGUUUUCAUAUUGGACUGGAGGUACAGGUAAGCCAGGUAAGAUGCUUUUCUCCUCUCCUUACCCCCAGCUUUUCUCUCUCAUCCUUACUUGCCCUUAGCUCAAAUGCACUCUGCAGACUGAGCCUGUAGAGCAGAAAUAGCUGCCCAUAAUCAGGACUAAACCUCCCCAGGGGCCUGCUACCUACAGGAGACUCGCAAACAUAAGGCUUAUUGCAAGACCAUGCGACACACAGACAUGGCCCUGUUCCCAGUAGGUGAAAAUGCAGAGAAAAAGCUACAUGUUGGAAUGAUAUAGGGAGGUUCACCAGGGGAGCUGCAGCAUAGGUCAUAAACCCCACCUCCUCCUGCAAACUUAAUAAAGCUAUGGAAAAACUUUAGAAAUUAAUUACACAAAAUAUACAUUUUUCUCCCCCUGCUUGUGAUGUUGACAUGUAGUUACUGUAAGACUGGUUUGUGCUCAAGUCCUCUUUUUUUCUGUACAGCUCCAUUUUUAAAAGUUAUUAGAGGGUUCAUGUUUUCUAUGAUUGACAGUUGAUACAGCCUAUGGAUGUACGAAGAUUGCUUAGCUCAACCGGGGAAUACGCUGUUUGAGUCGAGCAUCAUCACAGCGAAUCUCCCACCGAACACUACUGCACAAUUGGUGGUUCCAGGAAACUGAGAAAAUCCCGGAAAUACUGAAAUCAAUCUGGCUUCAAAUUUGUAUGGUGAUGGGAGGCAGAGCCAUGUGUCUAUACUAUAUACAGUCUAUGGGUACUACAGGGAUCAUUUCUGGGCUCACAACUUCUUAAUAUUGACCUAAACUGUCUUGGACAGAAUGUCCCAAAUGCUGCUUUUCACUUACACUACAGGCCAAAAGUUUGGAAGCAAGAUCAGAUGUGUACAAAAAAAGAUCAUAGUUUCAUAUAUAUAAUUUGCAACACAAUAAACAUGACUAUUGUGUAAAAAGUAACUUAUCAGAAGACAUUUUGACUAUUAUUAUUAGGUAUUUGAGUUAUUGUUGCUUAGACUUUGCUUUCUUUAAAGUAACCUCCUCUGGCUUUAACAACAGCUUGGCAUUCGUUCCACAACUUUUUUAAGGUAUGUUCCAGGGAUUGCAUUCCAAGCUUUCUUAAGUUCAUUAAAAAGAGACUGCUGAUUCGUGGGACGCGUUUUUCUGACUGAUCAAUCCAAUUCAUCCCGCACAAGCUCAAUUGGAGAAAGGUCUGAAGACUGAGGGGGCCAAACCAUCUUUUGAAGAACACCUUCCUCUUCUUUUUUGUCUAGGUAACCCCGACAGAGCUUGGCAGAGUGCUUAGGGUCAUUGUCUUGCUGCAAAACAAACUUAUGAGCCACAAGUCUGAGUCCAGAUGGAACAGCAUGGUGCUGGAGGAUGGAGUGGUACUGUUCCUUCUUCAUGAUACCCUUUACUUCAAACAAAUCUCCUACUCCAUCACCUGCAAAACAUCCCCAUACCAUGGAACUACCACCUCCAUGCUGAAUUGUGGGUGUAACACAUGGAGCUUUCAGACGUUCACCAGUUUGUCUGCAGACAUAGACUCUGCGUUUUGAACCAAACAGUGCAAACUUGUUUCUAGUCAUCAUAAGUCAAAUUUUUGUGAGCUUUUGCCAACUCUUAUCUCUUUUUCUUGUUCUGUGGAUGAAGUAGUGUUUUUUUGCAGAUACACAACCCUUUAGACCAGCCUUUCUCAAACGUCAUUUCACGGUUGUCAGAGAUAUGGGUUUUGAUCUUGUCAUGUUGAUUUCCUCCCUUAUUUGUGGUGCUGUUUUUCACCGAUCUCUCUUACUGGGGACAAUGCUAUGUUUAUCCUCUGCUUUUGUAGUAACUCUUUCAUCCAGGUCUUUUUCUAUCAUCACAACUUUCAGGUUCCUCUAGUCUCUUCGGAGGGUAGUGGACUCCUUUGUUAAACACCUUUAGGUGUUUUGUAAUUUCUCUUUCUGUGUAUCCUUCUUUCCUCAAUGUACAAAUCUGUACUUUUGUUUCUUUACUCAGUUGCUUCUUUCUAGCCAUUUUUGCGAGAGUUUGAACGCAGUUGAGAUUUAUUAGGAUUUUUGUUUGCAGACUCUCAAAAGCCAAAAAGUUGAAGUCAAUAAUCCAACUGUGAUUUUUUUUUUUGCUUUUGCACUGAAGUUGUGACUCUUGCAAAUGUUUUCAACCCUAAAACUAAGCCCUUAUUUUCUUUUGCUGACAUAUAUUUAGCAAUGGUCUGUUAACAUCAAUGUAUAUCUAAAGGUAAAUGGAGUAAAAUGGUGCAUUUCCAUGAAAGCAACAUCUGAUCAUGGAGUAAAUACAUCCCAAAAUACAUAAAACUCAUGCUGGAUUUUAAAAAAAGCAUUGUGAACAAAAACUUGAAGUUACUCCCAACUGUUCGGUCUGUAAUGGCCUUGCUUCCAAACUUUUGGCCUGUAAUGUAUAUGCUGAUGACACUUUGAUUUAUUGCAGUGCACCUUGGCCUACUUAAGCUUUGUUAAAUCUUUGGCAUGCAUUCGAUUAAGUACAAGAUCAACUUUGCCAACUGUGAAUUGUUCUAGUACCAAAAAGCUGAAGGUUUAGCUCAGGUUUUUAUGACAGGAACAAGUCCUGCUUUGCUUUUUAUGAAAAAAAAUAAUAAUAUAUCAGAGGAGUCCACUUUUUUAAACUUUUUCUUGAUUAUGGUGAUGUGUUGUUCAUAAAUGCCUGUGCUUAGUCUUCACAUUUUGACAACGUGCAUCAUGGUGCAUUGAAAUCUAUUACAAAUUGUUGCUUUCCUACCCAUCAUUAAACUUUAUAUUCUAAAGUCAACUGGACUGCUUCAAGUACAUACAGGCUUGGUUACUCGUAAAUCUUUAUUUAUAAAGCUACUCUGGGCAAAUUAUCAGACUGCCUUUCCUCUCUUUUGACCAUGAAGGAUGGAAGUCACAGCAUUCAUUCACUGGACAUUGUGCAUUUGUUGUCUCCAAAGUUCAAACUGAUCUCAGGUCUCCCUUGAAAAAGAGAUAUCUGAUUUCAGUGGGAGUAACCUGCUAAACAAAGAUAAAAUAAAAAUAAACAAAUGAAUAAAACAUUUACUGGUUGUACCCAGUUACCAGACUGAUGACUGAUGUUGUUAUGUGAAACUACAUUACAUGUUUGCAAUAAAACACGAGUCAGAAGAAGUUUUUCCUAAGUAUAAACAAAGAGAAAGAAAGAAGGAACACUUGGAGUUUAACUUGAGUUUAGGCCAUUAGCACUUGUUCUCUGAAUGCUCUGUUAGCAGUUUACGAGGAAGUACACACACACACACACACACACAGAAAAAAGAAAAAAAAAAACUGUGGUAAGAGUUUACACAGCACUUUAUUUCUCUCAUAAAUAAGCCUAGCCCAGCUUGUCCUCUAAGCACCCAUAUAUUAUCAAUGAGAAACCCUGACAGGAUGUAAAGGGAAUGUUUUGUGUGUAGUGUGGGUGUGUGUGUGUCAGUAUAUGUGAUAUCUACCGAAAAUCACAUGAAUUCACACCUGGAAAAAGUUAGCAUCUGGGAUAAGGCCUACAAAUCCGAUGGCUUCAUACUUCAUAUUCCUGCUGGACGUCAAUCAUGGACCAUUAACAUCUUGCCACUCCUUGAUGUUCCUCAUUUGCAUAUGGAAUAAGUAAUAAAACUUACAUGAACCCCAAAUAUUGAACUCAUGUUACGUUAUGAAGUUUCUAAUUGUAAUAAAAAUAUAUAAUCAUCAAGGGAGGACCUUGAUGCCACCGGUAAAGUAGUUUGAAAUGAAAUAGAUGAUAAGAGUUCUGCUGGAAAGUCUCUCCUUCUUAAAAAUGUGUUUUUCCCAGGUUUCUUUUUACAGAUCAGCAAAGAUGAUAUGACAACGCUGCAUUGAGCAGGCAAUAACUAAACACAGGAUUUGGUUAGAGACUAUCUUUUUAUUUUAUUUUAUUUUUUUAAAAAGAGACUUAAUUCUAGUCAAAGUACAAGAUAUUUUGUGGGUUCUGAAAGACACAAAAGUUUCUAUUUCUAAGAGAGGCAGAAGACAAGAAAAAAUAAUUUUAAUGAUCUUAAGAUAUCAGCAGAUUAGACUGUAAAAAUCUGUUGUAUUUAGACAGAACUAAUAUUGAGUAAUUAGUGAUUUCCCUGAUUAAGUCCAUUAACUUUCUCAGAGCAAAUGUUGGCAUCCCCUUUAUAAAAUUAACAGAAAUUUAAUAAUUAUCAGGUAAAAGACUCAAAGAAUAUGCAGGCCAAACAAAUAUAUUUAUAAAAGCGAAAUCAACAACAAUUAAAAUCAGCAAAAAGGCAUCAGGUAUGCAAGAAGUAUGUUUCAUGAGCGGGUGGUUUUGUAAAAUUAAAAUCCAACACGGUGAGAAGGACCCAAAACAAAGUAAGAAAAUCUGUCUUUCGAGCCUAGUAGGGGUGAAUGAAGCCUCUCAAUUGUUUUUGUUCACAAUCAUUUUGUUCAUGCAUCUGAAAUGCAAGUUGCUAACCACAUGCAAAAGCAUACAGUAAUUCUGCAUAGGUUUUCAGUCCACUAAAGAGCGGCUACAAAUAAGCUAUCAGCGUCCAAGUCUUGCAUUUGACCAAUGCAAUCAAGGUAUAAAAUUAUUCCUAAAUUGAGACACUGAGACAAUUGCUUUAAAAUGUAAAAAUAAAACUUUUUAUAUGCGAUUAACACAUGAUUAAUCACAUUGAGGGGAUCAACUUCUAUGAUCAAUCAUAAUUUUGUAUUUGACAUGUUUUUUUUCUUUUCAUAAUUUAUCAUCAGUCUCAGGGGAGUGUUGUCUCAUUGCACUGACAAAAUACCACCUGCACAUCACAUAUACUAUUCAAAUUGUAGACAACAGGCCAAUCAAUGCUGGAGAGUAACUAAGCCCACAGCUCUAAAAUUGUCAAAGGACCCUGGUGUAAUCGGAUAUAAAAAACUUUCAGCAACCUACACUGCCUUAGAUCAAUCCUGAACGCUGCUGCUGACCACAGGAAUUUCUAUGUAUGGCCUUUAUUUUCAUUGAAUGACUGUGCAGAGAGAAAAAAAAGACACUGCUGACACUGGCUGUACAGAUAAAAAGGGUAAAGUCAUCCAGAAUAAUGCUGUAAUUUGACACACAACCUACACUUCAUAUACCAAGGCAUGGCAGCCAGGCUGGGAGUAAAAACAAGAUGAAAAGGAAUUUAGAUGAGCGAUCGAACUGCUUGGUUGAGCACUUUUAGUGCUUGUAGUAAUGUAUAAAAAACUUCUGGACCUUGAGACAGGAGUCUGUUCCCACAGAUAUCUGAUUAGUACUGGUAUGAACACUGAGUGACAGAAAAUAGACUCCUGAGUGAGGCAAAGUGGUUUCAGCAAGUGUGUGAGUAUCAUUCCCUACUUUUUUGUAUUUUUUUUACAAUACCACCAUUCUAUAUUUGAACCAUAAUUUUCAUGGUAUCCUGUAAAUACAAAUAGUUAAAACACAAGUAGUCUACUUUGCCUCUAAGUCUUAUUUUAAGACAGAAAGGAUUAAAAUUAGUUUAGAACUAGAAAAGCACUCGGAGAUCACAGACCUCCGCCAAGCAGCUCAUGUCCCCCCUUAUAUUGUGAUUCACACCAAAACUUUUACUGUUACGUGUCUUUUAUUAACUUUUAUUUGUGUUUAAACUGGUAUGUUCACUGUUCGUAAUGUUCCUAAAACAAGAAAUGCCCUGACCCAGAUUCGAACCCAGAACCUUCUUACUGUGAGGCGACAGUGCCAACCACUACACCACUGUGCCGCCCAUCUACACCACUGUGCCGCCCAUUGGUUAUCUUUCAGCAUUGAAAAUCCCAACGACACCCUUAUUUUUGUGUGUUCUGGAUCACAGUAUCCAGAAUUUUGUCUGGAUCAGGAUCAACCUUUGACACCUCAUAAAACUCAUUGAGAUCCUUUUGUGUAAUUUUUUACUAAAGACUCUGGACAUUUUUAUAGAGUUAAAUACAAAAAUUCCAAAAUUUGCCCUAUCUCACAAUGAUAAAGAAUCCUUCAAAAAAUUCCUGGAUCCAGAAGGUGAUCCGGAUCACCGCCAAAAUGUAAUGGGAUCCUCCUGGGGCUGAGACGCACCUCUGGUGAAAAUUUCAGGACAAUCCGUCUGAUACUUCCUCCGUAAAGUUGUUCACAGACAAACAAACAAACAAACAAACAAACCAACGCUACCGAAAACAUAACCUCCUUGGCGGAGGUAAUAAAAAUUUGGCAUAUUUAUAGGUGUGGCUUAAUCCCUAUUAGUGAGACACAUAGACUGUAUGUAGAAUAGAAGCCGUCGCUGGGUGAAGCCACCGCAAGAACAGCACCCUCUGGUGACUGGCUGCAGUAUAGGUCAUAAAUCCCGCCUCCUCCAGCAAUCCCUAUGGAGCUGUGGAGAAACUUUAGAAAAUUUUUUAUAGAGAAUCCCCCCCCCGGUUGCAAUGUUGACAUGUAGUUACUGUAAGACUGGUUUGUGCUCAAGUCCUCUUUUUUCUGUGCAGCUCCAUUUUUAAAAGUUAUUAGGGGGUUCAUGAUUUCUAUGAUUGACACUUGAUUCAGGCUAUGGGCGUACAAAGAUUGCGUAGCUCACCCAGGGGGUAUGCUAUCUGAGCCGCGUGCCAUCACAGCAACUCUCAUGCCAAAUGCGUACAAUGUUACUGCGCAAGUGGUGGUUCCAGGAAGUGGAGAAAAUCUCUGAAAUACUGAGAGCAAUUCGGUUUUAAAUUCGUAUAAUAACGUAAGGUGCAACUAGAGGUUUAUUGAAUAUGGCCACCAUAGCAGAUUUGACAGGUCUUCCAUUGUUAGAUGCUGCCAUCUUCGUUAUUUAUGAAAGUACUUGUGCGGGGUGUCUAUGUAGUCGUCUUACAUAAUGAAUUGAAAUACGUCUGGUUUAUCUGGCACCAUGGUAAACCGUCUCAAGCAGGCCUCAACAUAAAACAGCCUGAUGGUGAUCAUCACGAAGGUCACAAUGUGAUGCUUAUCAUGAACUGAUGAAACAGUUAACUACAACAGUAGUUUGAAUAAAAUGUGAGAGAAGAAUUGCCUAGCUAGUAAUGAAAAGUCAUAAAAAUUUGGUGAUUAUGAUCACACAAGCCAAAAUAAUGUCUUUUUUAAUAACUGUUUCAAAAUACUGAGGAAUCCCUGUUUCUGGGCAGGACCCCCAUCCCUUACUCUCUUUAAAAAAGGAAUGGCUGGCAUGACGCCCCUGUGCAGGAUAGCACAUAAAAGAGGCACACUUUGUUUAACAGAAUAUCAAGUCAGUCACUCUGUGUUUGAGGAUGACACAGGAACAAAACUGAAUACUUUACGAUUGCAUCAAAAAUGACUGAUUGUCCGCCAAUGGUACAUGUGAACACACUCUGGAUAAAAAAGUUCUGUGUGAGGAGGCUGGAGGCCUCCUAAAUAAACCACUCAAUAGACGUUCCAACAAGCUUCAGUGUCAACUGUGUCCACAGGGGCCAAGAUCUUACAAGUAGAGUAUUGGCUGAAAAAAUACUAUGUUCCUGCUCACAGUCAAUUCAAGCGGAUUUCAGAGGGACUUUUACAAUACUUAGUAUUGUUUGCCAAUGCAGGCUAAUGCUGCCAAGGUUGUUAGCUAGGAUUUUGUGUCAAAGAAAGCAGUUUGGCUUAAAAAUGUACAAAUACAGACAUAAACAUGAAAUUUAAGCUGGAUAUCAAGUGCCAGUUGGCAUCAUUGAGGUGUGCUUCUCUUUCAAUUUAUCCCCAGGUUGUUUACAAAAGUAAUCACACGCCUGGACAGUGUAGCUAUGAUACUUGCUUUAAAGGGGGGUAUUGGGCUUUUCCGCAUUUACACCCCCCAAAAAAUCAAAGUUACAAUGUUUGGUGUUCAUUCUAGGUGUAUGCAUAGUUUUAAAUCAAAUGGUAAACGUAUGUUAUCGUUACCCUAGUAAAUUGAUCACCGAGUGCAACGGAUCAUUUCCAUGAAGUAAUAAUCAUCAAAAUAAUCAUUUUGCACUGCAGACACAGUAGUUCUUCUGCCUUAGUGUCUUGGUAUAACUGCAUUUCCAUGAAGUAUUAAUCAUAAAUGUUCUUCCUUGAGCUGUGAAACUCCGCUGCACUCAGUGAUUGACACGCCAGGGCUCCCUGACAAACAAGUGGCUGCUGGAGGAGAGUGGGUGAGUUGCAUUUAGUCUCUUUGCUAAAGAAAUCAGGCAAAGUUAAAAAGAUGUCUAAUGGCUAGUACUAUGGCUGGGACCCUAAAUGUACUGUUGAUGAAAUUAGGUGCUGUUCUGAGCAUUAUUUGUGGCUGUAGAAUGGCUUUUUGGUUGAGGUUUGCGCGUGACGAUGUAGACUGCUGUGUAUUGCUAUCGUGCGGUCAUUGCUGAAGUUGGUAUAACUAAAGAACCAAACAGUCAGCAACAUUCAUCUUUUAAGGGGAAGUCUAACUCGAUGUUACAGUGUGUUUGACCAUAACUUACAUUUACGCCAGGAUAUCCCUUUAACUGGUUCAUCUAUGCUUCUAGCAAAGCAGUAUGGCCUUCCUCCAACAUCAGGUGACAUCCACAGCGGACAAGGGUGAUGCUGCUCUACUGAUUAACCACAAUAAACCGGGCGGGGUAAAAACAUUGAUUUCUGCCCUUGGCUGGCCUCCGGAAAGCCUUAAAGAGACUGCAGCUUAAACGAAGCGCUUUUGACGGAGGCUGAAAUAAUGAUAUUCUAAUACAUUACAGUGAGAAGUGACAAGGCUUUUUUUUAAAUCUGAAAAUCAUGUAAAGCUAUUAAAGAGGUAUCAAAGAGAAAGUAUAGAGUCUGACAAAAUGCAUAAUACAUUUGUGUCAACACUUUUGAAGACACAAGGCCAAGAAUAGGUCACUUUGUUUUGGUGAAAUGAAACAACAAAGAUAGACCUUCAAGGCUCAUGAUGUUUGGCUAAGUGUGUUUAGGCAUUCAUAUCCUCUGAGGGGGUUAAAGUGAUUGCCAACUUGAAAUACUGAUGUUCACCAACUGUAAUGCAGUAAAGCUCUUGUACUGUACCAGUCUGCAUAGGUGUUCAAUAAGUUUUGGCUAGUCUGUGUGUAUAAAUGCUUUUUUUACUUGUCCACAUCACAUGCCAUGGUACUUAGAGAUUGUAAUUUUUAUACAAGUGCUAUUGAAAGCAAAAAGGGAACCUGAAGUUGGGGGGUCAGCUUGAAGCUCUGCUUUCACUGUGUGAGAUUGUGUAGUCAGUUCACUAACCAGAAGGGAGCAGCUAAUCAGAUUGUAAUUGGCUACCCUGUCCCACUGUCCGCUGCACAGUAAACUGCAUGUGAUUUGGCUGAAAAUAACAGCCCAUCUUUAAAAGCAGGGCUCUGAUUUUAAAACUAUAAAUAUAGAGGUCAAAAUCAGCUGCAUUUCUUACAAUAGAUGCCUAGUAUUAAGACCAAUCAUGCUCAACAAUGAGCUUGGAAAAAAGGUUUCAGCAAAGUUGCUUCUUAUUCAGGAUCAGAAACAUGUAAAUAGCCCAUCUACAUACCCAGGACCUGAUCGAAAGUUGACCACAAACCUCAACCAAAAAGCCACUCUAGACCCUUCCGUUGUGGACUACAGAGUAAAUGAGCAGAAUUUUAGAUUACUUUAAAAGCUGUAAAAGGCCCUGACAAUCAUAUUUAGACAUGGUAAACUACCUCUGUGUUAAACAGAGCUCUGGCAGGAGUGACUCUGGUGUCCUACAAAAUAUAAAAAAGCAUCUACAGCAAUUGUUGUGCUUCCUUAGACUGAUGCUUGGUCUUUAGUUCACCACUUUGGAGGAUAUCAGGAAGGACACUGAGUGUUGGAUGAUCAUGAAAACUUUUUAAACAUGAUUUUCGUCAGAGUGGGUCACAUUUUUUUCACCAGAGUUCUGUCACAUUAAUAUAUCUUUAGACGACAACAGUAUGGAUUUUCCUGUGGUCUAAAAUACUUCUGUGGAGUUGAAUACUUUGCAGAAUUAAUUGGAUCACCACAUUUAGUCUCCAAAUUACUGAACAGACAGAGACCCUCUGAUAAAAACACCAAGCGGCUGCUGUUUUCUACCUUAUGGAUGAAAUGUUUACACCACACAUGGGCAGCCGAUCAGCCACCCACCCUGUGAACUCAAGACCUCGCUGGCCAGUGUACAAAACAGUGCCAGUCUCACUGUGUCCUUGCUUUUCCUCCGAGGCUUUGCAGCGUUCUCAGUGCAUCUGUCCACAUCCAUUUAUCCAUCUGUCUGUUUGUCCCUGUGUGUGUGCCACUGUAACCCUGUACACCCCCUGUGUCCAAUCAGCUCCUCUGACCCAGUCAGACAGGGGAAGCACCAGGUGCCAGAUGCCCAACUAUAAUUGGGAAGCCAGGUUAUUUCUAAAUACUGUACACUGCAUUGUUAGUAUCAGGUAUGAGACUUUCUCAACUCCACCUCUGUAUCUUAUUUUGUGACAGUUGGUGCAACAUGAGGGUGUCAGCACAUCUACACAGUCACACUGCACACAACCACAGAAUAACUUUAAGUCCUAAAACUAUUAAAUAGUGAUGAUCAUCUCACACUCUGAUCUCAGGUGUUUCUGUUGCAUAUCAAGUCCAUGUUACUGAAAUAAACAUUCUGGAAAUGACUUAGCAGGAAGGGUCAUAAACUGUCUUUGUUUGUCACAUGAUACCACAAGUUUGGGUCCUACGUUUUGUACUCCGGUUAUGCAUUGACAAGAGAUUUGUAAUGGAUUAUAUCAAAAAAGUUACCUGCCCAACAGUAGCCACUUACAUUAAAGUUCGUCUCUCAUGUAGCAGCCCUUGAGUUUGGCCAGUUUUAGAGCUCAUACAAAACUUUGCCAGCUCAGCCGUAUGUCUCCAACUGAAUGAUAUCCAACAGGACCCCUGACAAUUUACAGUGCCAGCUUCAACUCACUGACUGCCUCAGUCUACUUCUGCUUUCAUUCACUUUCCUCUGAUCCACAUUCAUUUCGGGGUGUGUGUCUUUUUUAAAGAAAUUCAACCAUGUUGUUGUAAGAGGUGAGGAUACUAUUGCCAGAUGCCCCUUGCUAACCUCAUCUGUGUUACGCUACACACACACACACACACACGAACAUACAAAUAUAGAGAAAAGACAGGUUUUUAAUUUCUCACAUAAGCACGAUGUCAAAAUUAAGAAUAACAAGCUUUAAUGGCAGACAAGGUCAUCGGAUACGCCACACCACACACACACACACACACACACACACACACACACACACAUAUAUGAGCAGACACGUAGUAAUCCAGUGUCUGUUUGACCUAAACCAGCUGAAACCAAGCCUCUGUCAGAGUGUCAGAGUAAUUCAGGCAUUAAACAUUAAUAAAGGUUAUUAAUGAGUGAGAUUUAGACAGGCUGCAGGAAAAAGGCUGCACACAACCUGUCCAUAUUAACUAUUGUCCAAUGUUUUAGGGGGGACAACUGCCAUAAACAAACAAAAAAACACAACAACAUGAUAAUGAAAAUAUAGCAGUGAAGAAACAGGAAUAUGCUGUUUGUUUUCCAGCCCACAUGUUUGUUGUUGUCAGAAUUGUAGCCUUUAAAUGUUGGCGGUGCUUUAUACAGAGAUUAGCUGACAUUAUCUACAGGUGUUAAACAAAGAGGCAAAUAAGUACCGCAUGAGGAUUUUUUUUUAAAAGUCAGCAAAUGACAAAAGUAUUGUUUUGUGUGCAGAACUUAAUGUAGGAAGGCCCAUCCUUGCAGCUUUCUCUCAGCUGCAGUGCCAUUUGUCAAAAAGCACGACAGGUAGAGAGAGGCAGAUUAGAGACAAGGUGUUUCAUUUCAUAAUUACCUUUUUAAAUGUCAGUCGAUUAGACCAACAUUGUAACAAUUAAAACAGUGACAGACGAAACAGGUAAUAUCGCCUUCAUAACUUCUUUUUGCAGCCCAGUGAUUUGAAAUCGAACCUUUAGGCUGAAGGGCAAUCACCACAUGACUCUGACAAGACUUAUGGCCCGCUGUCUCAGUCGCAGUGCAACUUCAAAGUCUUCUUUCUGCCACUGCAGAGUCAAUACAGCCCAAAAUGUAGGUUUCAACCAUAGACUGUAUAAAGAAUGGACAGAGUCUGCCUCCUCAAUGGGUGAAGCCACUCCGAGAACAGCACCCUCUGUUGAUGGGCUGCAAUAUAGGUCAUAAAUCCCGCCUCCGCCAGCAAAGCUUAUGGAGCUGUGGACAAACUUUAGAAAUUUAUUACACAGAACAUGAUUUUUUCUCCCCCCUGCUUGUGAUGUUGAC